UGUCUUUUUUUGUAGUGAGUACUCCUCUGACCAAACCAGAUGCCUCAAGCUUAUUAAUCUCCUCGGCAAUGAGCUGCUGCCACUCAAAGGCCUGCUUCUGCACCUUUUGCUUGACGGGUCGGGCAUGUGGGCAGACAACAAGGUGGUGCUCAAUUACCUCCCUGGAAACACCGGGGAUAUCAGAUGGUUGCCAGGCAAACACAUCGAUAGUCGCCCACAGGAAGGCAAUGAGCGCGCUUUCCUAUUUUUCAUCAAGGGUGGCGCUGAUAGUAAAAGUACCAUCAACACCAUCCAGCCCUGCCGGGACCUUCUUCACAUGGGGUGCAGCAGCCUUGGCCCUCUUGCUGUUGGAACACUCCGGCACGUCAUCAACGGGUAUCGUGCACUCGGUAGGGGCACGCUUCCCGGAUUCCUUGCCAAAGUCCCUACAAUCCUUCUUCUUUCCUUUACUUUCCUUGGCGGGCACCGCUGCUUCAGGAGCCUCUAUCGCGAUAGCGUUCUGAUACAUCUUAUCCAUGCAUAUCAUCACAUCUUUCUUAUCUUAUGGAAUGGAAAUGACGCCCAUUGGGUCUGACAUCUUCAAGGUGUUGUAGGCAUAGUGGGAUGCCGCCAUGAACUUGUCCAGGGCAGGGCGCCCAAGAAUUCCAUUGUAUGGCAGGGGAAGGUCGACCACAUCAAACACAAUCUUCUCAGUCCGGUAGUUCAACUCACCCCCAAACGUCACCGACAAUGUGAUCUUUCCCUUAGGAUGGCUCCUGCCGGGAUUAACUCCUUGAAACGUGCCAGUGGCCUUAAGCUCUUCUUUUACUCUCUGAAGCUCGCUGAGAACAUGUGGGGAGAUCAGAUUCAACCCAGCCCCGCCAUCAACUAACAUCUUUGUGACCCUGAGGUUGCAGAUUGUUGGGGAGACCAACAACGGCAGGCACCCCACCGCAGUGGUGCGGUCAGGGUGAUCCUCCUCAUGAAAGAUGAUGGGCAUGUGUGACCAUUUGAGUGGUUUCCAUGAAGUUGCCGCUGGCUCCACGACAUUGACUUCACGCGCCCAUUGCUUAUGUUGGCGGUGAGAGGAGUGCAAAGAUGCACCCCCCCGUCAAUGCACAAGGCGUCGGUGGCCUUCUGGAAUUCCUGCUCACUAGUUUCCUCUUCAUCCCCUUCAUCACUUCCAGCAUCAUUAUCCUCCUUCUCUCUGUCCCUCACGGGUUUCCCUUGGUUCCAAGGAGCUUUGCUAGGGCAAUUUGCUUCACCGCCCCGGCCCUUACCGCCAGUAUUAUUCUGACCUCUCUCCGUAUCUCGCUUCUCAUACUCAGCCCUCUGCUUCUUGACGAGCUACCCAACUUGAUGACACUCCUGGAGAUUGUGUCCCUUGGUCCGAUGGAUCUUGCAGUAUGACCCAUCACUCUUUCUAGCUUUCUCGGCAGCCGCGGCCUCCCGGCAGUCAGCGCACGCGGCAACUUCCUUGCUGGGGGCUUCGGCUUUUGCCUUCUUUCUAGUACCAGGUGUGCCCAAUCCCUCAACGGUCAUCACUACCAUAUCCUUACACUUCUUGUUGUGCUUCUUAUUCUUCUUCUUCUGGCUAGUGGUCUUAUCGUCAUUUUCUGAGUCGUUGUCGAUGCAAUCCUCCUCUCCGGGAAGCUUCCUCCCUUCCUCCACCCGAGCACAUUUGUCCACCAAAGUGUACAGCUCCUUCACAGUCUUGGGAAGCUUGACGUUCAUCUUGGAAUGUAUCCUUUGGUUGCGCACAUUAGACUGAAAGGAGGCUAUCACAGCUGUCGGGUGGAUAUCUAGGAUAUUACUGUGAACUCUGUUCAACCUUUGCAAGUACUUCCACAGAGUUUCUCCUUCUUUCUGCUGGAGGAGCUGCAAAUCGCUGGGCCGCCCUGGUUCUUGAUGGCCCCCCGUGAAGGCACCAAUUAACUCAUGUCACAGGUUAGCCCAGAAUGAGAUGGAGUUCUCCGGCAAGUGCAUCAACCAAGACCUUACGUUAGACUUAAGUGCCAAAGGGAAAUAAUUGGCAAAUACCUUCUCAUCUCUUCCUCCGGUAGCCUGAACAGCGAAGGUGUAGAUGCUCAAGAACUCUGCUGGGUUCAAUCUUCCAUCAUACUUCUCAGGUAUCUCUGGCUUGAACGUGCGAGCGGACGGCCAACGGACUUGCCAUAGCUCAUGGGUGAAGGCAGGGCACCCGACCUCGGAAGGUAGGUACCCGCCAUCUCUGAGCAUGGGCUCAUUGACGUUGAGGCCAUCGUAACCGUUGGGUUGUAGGUAGACGUCACGACGCCGUACGGUGACUACGCGCGCGGCUUCUCUCCGCCUGUCCUCCGGGGCCCACCGUGGUUCUUGCCAUGCUUGAGGAUCAGAGGAAGCCAUCGAUACGUCGUCGGCCUCUUGGAUACGUGGCUCUCAUACAGCCUACCGAGGUGGGGACUACACCGUGGGAGCAGCCCCUUCUAUGCGGCUAGCUGCACAAGCCGUUGUCAUUGCCUGGGGAGGCCGAGGCGGGCUAGUCCGCUAAGAUCCUCCUGCCUCAGCGAAACAAUCAAGCUUUGGAUAGUGGACCGCCACUCGUCCAUCUGAUCAUCUACUGGUGGGAAUCUCAACAGCAACUGGGCCCACGCCAUGGCUUCGGAGGCAGUGCUUGGCAUGGGCGGAGAUGAUGAAGACCGCUGCAUCGCUCGGCUCCUGACGGCACCGGUGGUGACCGCGUCGCGUCCUCACUGCCGUGAGCUAGCCGCUUGGAUAGUGUGGUCACACAACAAAGGCGCUUGAGUGUCAGCGGCCCUGUCGGGCACAGUAGCUGGGCUAGCUUGUUCUGAAGGCGGCAGGUGCCUCGUGGUCAUACCCAUGGCAGGGGCGGCCGGAGGGUUGCGAUUCGCCUCAGAACGAGCGCCGCCACUACGGCUGUGCCCUUUGGCAAGGAGAGAGAGUGCAUGUAAAGUAAUUCCCCCACCCGUACGUCGAGAAGCAUGCCAUUGGGAUCUUGUUGAUGUUGUCCUUCCCUGGCGCUUCUUGCUUCGGUCACGGGGAUAGCGGUGACAACGCCUCCUGCAUCAAUUGCGCCUCCCUGACGUCAACGUCUUCACGUGCCCCCUCAUUUCCUGCGACGUUGGCAGUUGAUAACCCACAAGUAUAGGAGAUCGCAAUAGUUUUUGAGGGUAGAGUAUUCAACCCAAAUUUAUUGAUUCGACACAAGGGGAGCCAAAGAAUAUUCUCAAGUAUUAGCAGUUGAGUUGUCAAUUCAACCACACCUGGAUAACUUAGUAUCUGCAGCAAAGUAUUUAGUAGCAAAGUAGUAUGAAAGUAAUGGUAAUAGUGGCAAAGUAAAGAUAUCGGUUUUGUAGUAAUUGUAAUAGUAGCAAUGGAAAAGUAAAUAAGAAAAGCACAAUAUGUGAAAAGCUCGUAGGCAUUGGAUCAGUGAUGGAUAGUUAUGUCCGAUGUGAUUCCUCAUGUAAUAGUUAUAACAUAGGGUGACACAGAACUAGCUCCAAUUCAUCAAUGUAAUGUAGGCAUGUAUUCCGAAUAUAGUCAUAUGUGCUUAUGGAAAAGAACUUGCAUGACAUCUUUUGUCCUACCCUCCCGUGGCAGCGGGGUCCUAAUGGAAACUAAGGGAUAUUAAGGACUCCUUUUAAUAGAGAACCGGACCAAAGCAUUAGCACAUAGUGAAUAAAUGAACUCCUCAAACUACGGUCAUCACCAAGAAGUAUCCCGAUUAUUGUCACUUCGGGGUUGUCGGAUCAUAACACGUAAUAGGUGGCUAUAGACUUGCAAGAUAGGAUCAAGAACUCACGUAUAUUCAUAAAAAUAUAAUAGGUUCAGAUCUGAAAUCAUGGCACUCGGGCCCUAGUGACAAGCAUUAAGCAUAGCAAAGUCAUAGCAAUAUCAAUCUCAGAACAUAGUGGAUACUAGGGAUCAAACCCUAACAAAACUAACUUGAUUACAUGGUAAAUCUCAUCCAACCCAUCACCGUCAAGCAAGCCUACGAUGGAAUUACUCACGCAUGGCGGUGAGCAUCAUGAAAUUGGAGAUGGAGGAUGGUUGAUGAUGAAGACGCCGAUGAAUCCCCCUCUCCGGAGCCCUGAACGGACUCCAGAUCAGCCCUCACGAGAGAGAUUAGGGCUUGGCGGCGGCUCCGUAUCGUAAAACGCAAUGAAACUUUCUCUCUGAUUUUUCUAUGCGAAACAGAAUAUAUAGAGUUGGAGUUGAGGUCGGUGGAGCAUCAGGGGGCCCACGAGAUAGGGGGCGCGCCCCCCACCCUCGUGGACAGGGUGUGGGGCCCCUAGCCUUGAUUCUUUUGCCAGUAUUUUUUAUAUUUUCCAAAAGUUAUCUCUGUGGAUUUUCAGGUCAUUCCGAGAACUUUUAUUUUCUGCACAAUAAAUAACACCAUGGCAGUUCUGCUGAAAACAGCGUUAGCCCGGGUUAGUUUCAUUCAAAUCAUGCAAGUUAGAGUCCAAAACAAGGGCAAAAGUGUUUGGAAAAGUAGAUAUGUUGGAGACGUAUCAACUCCCCCAAGCUUAAACCUUUGCUUGUCCUCAAGCAAUUCAGUUGAUAAACUGAAAGUGAUAAAGAAAAACUUUUACAAACUCUAUUUGCUCUUGUUAUUAUAAAUAUGUAAAGCCAGCAUUCAAGUUUUCAGCAAAGAUUAUGAACUAACCAUAUUCACAAUAACACUUAGGUCUCAUGUUUACUCAUAUCAAUGGCAUAAUCAACUAACGAGCAAUAAUAAUAAAUCUCGGAUGACAACACUUUCUCAAAACAACCGUAAUAUGAUAUAACAAGAUGGUAUCUCGCUAGCCCUUUCUGAGACCGCAAAACAUAAAUGCAGAGCACCUUUAAAGAUCAAGGACUGACUAAACAUUGUAAUUCAUGGUAAAAGAGAUCUAGUGAAGUCAUACCCAAUAUAAACUAAUAGUAAUGCAUGCAAAUGACAAUGUGCUCUCCAGCGGGUGCUUUUUAAUAAGAGGGUGAUGACUCAACAUAAAAUUAAAUAGAUAGGCCCUUCGCAGAGGGAAGCAGGGAUUUGUAGAGGUGCCAGAGCUCGAUUUUGAAAUAGAGAUGAAUAACAUUUUGAGCGGUAUACUUUCACUGUCAACGCAACAACUAUGAGAUGUCGAUAUCUUCCAUGCUACAUACAUUAUAGGUGGUUCCCAAACAGAAUGGUAAAGUUUAUACUCCCCCACCACCAACAAGCAUCAAUCCAUGGCUUGCUCGAAACAACGAGUGCCUCCAACUAGCAACAGCCCUAGGGAAGUUUUGUUUAAUUAUUUUGAUUUGCUUUGAUCUUUUUGAUCAUGGGACUGGGCAUCCCGGUUACCAGCCAUUUUCUCGUGAAUGAGGAGCGGAGUCCACUCCUCUUGAGAAUAACCCACCUAGCAUGGAAGAUACAGACAACCCUAGUUGAAACAUGAGCUGCUCGAGCAUACAAAACAGAAUUUCAUUUGAGGGUUUGGAGUUUGGCACAUACAAAUUUACUUGGAACGGCAAGUAAAUACUGCAUAUAGGAAGGUAUAGUGGACUCAUAUGGAAUAACUUUAGGGUCUAUGGAGUUUGGAUGCAUAAGCAGUAUUCCCACUUAGUAAAGGUGAAGGCUAGUAAAAGACUGGGAAGCGACCAACUGAGAGAACGACAACAGUCAUGAACAUAAUCAACACCGAGUGCAAGCAUGAGUAGGAUAUAAUCCACCCUGAACAUAAAUAUCAUGAAGGCUAUGUUGAUUUUGUUUUCAACUACAUGCGUGAACAUGUGCCAACUCAAGUCACUCGAGUCAUUCAAAGGAGGAUACCACCCUAUCAUACCACAUCACAACCAUUUUAAUAGCAUGUUGGCGCGCAAGGUAAACCAUUAUAAGCUCCUAGCUAAUUAAGCAUGGCAUAAGCAACUAUAAUCUCUAAUUGUCAUUGCUGUCGGAUAUCGGGUUCCGGCAAAACCCUUAAGGUUCAAACUCUGGGGUCCGCACGAAGAUCUUCUCCCUACCGAUCCACGCCCCAAAGCUUCGCCGUGAAUCUAAGCUACACGAUGAACAACACAAGGGACACAAGGUUUAUACUAGUUCGGGCCACUGUUGUGGUAUAAUACCCUACUCUAGUGUGUGGUGGUGGAUUCCCUCUAGGGCUGAUGAUGAAAAGUACAGAGGAAGAACAGCCUCGUGAGGGGUGUUCUUGAGCUGGUGGGUUUGGAGAGGAAUGGCUCCGUCUUUGUUGGCUAUCGGUCCGAUCUCUCGAUCCCCUCUCUACUAUGGUGGCUAUCUCUAUUUAUAGAGGCCUUGGUCCUCAUCCCAAAUAUUGCGGGAAGGGAGCCAACAACGGCCAUUUUGAAGGUGGGCAACUAGUACAAUUUAUCCUGACUAAAGUUGGUCUUCGACUGCCAAAGGCACUGGCAAUUACGCCGUCUUGGGCUCCACGGUGACCUCCGUCCUGCCGCUCUGCUGGUCUUGGUCCCGUUGCACCGAUAUGGCAACCUUUGCUUGAUGCCUCGGUACUCCGCGCCUGCGCUUGCCCCCUUUGCACCAAAGAGGAAGCGAGGACACUGCGCUGGCUGGCGCCCGCCUGGUCUCGAUCGUCAUGGCCUGCGUCAUGAGCACUGUCGGUGUCAAAACCGGCGGAUCUCGGGUAGGGGGUCCCGAUCUGUGCGUCUUAGGCUGAUGGUAAUAGGAAGCGAGGGACACAAUGUUUACCCAGGUUCGGGCCCUCUCGAUGGAGGUAAAACCCUACUUCCUGCUUGAUUAAUAUUGAAGAUAUGUGGAAUACAAGAGUUGAUCUACCACGAGAUCGUAGAGGCUAAACCCUAAGAGCUAGACUAUGAUGGUAUGUUUGUAAUUGUGAUUGGCCUUCUAAGGACCAUGCUCUCCGGUUUAUAUAGACACCGGAGAGCUAGGGUUUACAUGGAGUCGGUUUACAAGGAAGGAAACAUAAUAUCUGGAUCGCCAAGCUUGUCUUCCACGCGAAGGAGAGUCCCUUACGGACACGAGCCAAAGUCUUGAGUCUUGUAUCUUCACGCUUCUAUAGUCCGGACGAUGUAUAUAGUCCGGCUGUCCGGAUACCCCCUUAUCCAGGACUCCCUCAGUAGCCCCCGAACCAGGCUUCAAUGACGAUGAGUCCGACGCGCAGUCUUGUUUUUGGCAUUGCAAGGCGGGUUCCUCCUCCGAAUACUCCAAGGUUAUUAUCGAACACGCAGGUCGUGUCCAGAUCUGCAAAAUGAUCUUCACAUACCACCGUAGGGAAAAUGAUACUUCAGCUGACAACUUUUUAGACGACGGGAUAUGUCAUUACGGUCAGGUUAUUAUUCGAACCGUUUUUCCCACAACCAACCAUAGCGUAUACUGCGAGGCGGUUUCCUGAGCACGUCUUGUCGAAGCGAAGAUCGUGUCCCCUUAUCACGAGAUUCUCAUCAAUACGGGUAUGGGUAAUCCAACCGUACCGCUAAUCGCAGCGAGCGGGAGGCGAGCGGGUUCCACCAGGCAAGUGGGGAGGCACGAAAAGCUCUUACCUUCUCUUAUAAAGAGAUAGGGCAUCUUCCUCUUUUACCCACGCCUUCUCCUUCUGCUAACUCACUUCCCUCUGCUCGAGCCCUAACGCCCGAGCGCCUUUCUUUUCCAUUGAAGAGAGGGUUUCCAAAGAUGUCCGGAUCUGGAGCAGGAGGCAAAUGGAUGGCCUCUACCGUCCGGGAGAAGUAUAUCAAGAAGCUCCGGGAAGCCGGGUAUUUGGCCAAGGAGAUUGGCCACCGUCUCCCACCGGCGGGACAGGUUGUCCCUACUCCGGAGCCCCACGAGAGAGUCGUGUUCCUUCCCCAUUUUGUCUGAGGGCUCGGGUUUCCCCUACACCCAUUUAUACGUGGAGUCAUGUAUUACUAUGGGGUUGAUUUUCAUGAUCUUUCCCCCCAACUCUUUUCUCAAUAUCUCGACGUUCAUCGUCGCAUGCGAGGCCUUCCUCCGGAUUCCGCCUCACUUCGGCCUGUGGUUGAAGAUUUUCAAUGUGAAGCCCAAGGUGGUGAGUGGCGAACACGCCGAGUGCGGCGGCGCCAUGGUGAGAAAGAUGCCCAAGGUCGUUUGGCCGAAGGGCACUUUUAACGACUCCGUCAAGGAAUGGCAGCAGUAGUGGUUUUAUAUCACUGAACCAUGCGGCGAAGAAUGGGCAGCAGCUCUUGAGUUCAGAUCCGGAGCUCCGCUGCGGCUUACGUCCUGGCCCAAGAAGGGCCCAAACUAGUGCUCGCCCAAUGAGCUGUCACUGCUCCUGACGCGUGCUCGGAAUAUGGUCGACAAGGACGUCAAGCUUGUUGACGUGGUCCAGGUGAUGCUAGUUUACCUGGUUCUCCCUUGCUAGCGUCGAGCCUGUACUUUAUGGGAAUUCGACCCAUCCGAGCACCAAACCCUCCGAGAGCUCUAUGAUUCCUCCCACAAGGAUAUCUCGAAGGUGCUCUUUAAGUCCAGCAAAUCAUGGCCGAACUCAUCUGAGGAUCGGGGGUAUCAAUUAUCCCAUUCUGCAAGCCCAGUUAGUUAUAGCCACGCCCCCUCCGUCCAGGCUUCAACCGGCAUAUCAUGAGGGGGGCAUUUUAAUCGUGCUUCAUUGUGGCUUUAGGGAUGGAUAAAAAGGGUGGAGCGGAUACAAUGUCCGGCCCCACUGCCGGAGGAACCGGCCGGACCUCUUCUGACAAAGAUGCUGGUCCCUUCACCUUACAAGGCGCCCAAGAAGGAGGCCCCCAAGUAGGUCAAGAAGACCAGGAGUGGCCUCCAUUGUCGCGAGGCUCCAGACACCAGGUCCGAAGGCUCUAGCAACGCUCCUUCUUCCGAAGACGAAGAGGAGGAGGCAGAGGAGGACGAGCCUCGCUCUGCCGACGGGAAGAAGCAUGCAACUGCCCCGUCCCUGGAGGCCGAGUUGCCCAAGAGAAGGUGAGGUUCCCCUCCAGAGGCAUCCACCCCGGCUGCCGAUAACAUCCCGGAGUGGGAUACCGAGGCCCAGCCCCUGAGAAAAUCGUAAGUAACCGAAAUCCAAAUACGCCUAUGUAUUCAGGGUUGUCCGGGUAUUGUAGUUUUAACUGUCGCCACAUCUCGCACAGCCCGGCAAGGUCUCCUGCCGGACAAUCCUCAUCGGAGGAUUCGUUGAGCUCGAAUGCUAUGGCGAGUGAGACGCCUCUGGGGAUUCCUUUUCCAAAGUCCAGGCGCGACACCGAGGUGUCAUCUCAAAGAGACUCGGGGCAGGAUAAAGUUCUGGAGGCCCCUAAGGCUCCAGGAUUGGGCCAGUAGCCAUCCUCCAUGGAGGGAGGUUUGCUUACUCCACUGGCCACCUCAGUAUACGCCGAGCUGUCAGGCGGUCUGUUGAUAGCGUUAAAGAACGCGUCCGUCGUUGAUGAACAUCGGACCCUUAUGGGUGCGGUGGUUGGAAAGAUCCAGGCUGCCGAAAGCGGGCUGAAUGAGUCCUGUCUUGGCCUUAUAAAGGCCUUUGAGGUAUAGUUUCUAAGGAACCUUUAAACAAUUAGUACGAUAUGAGGAGUACCCCUGAUACACUGUCCGGAAAAAGAAAGCCGGGCAGGGGAUCAAAUCCUCAGUUGUAAUGGGAACUUUUAAUGAUGUAUACCCAUCUUUUUGAAAACAGGCGUCUGUGGAGAGGACGGCCGCUCGUGAUGCGGAAGUGUCCGAACUGAAAGAGAGCCUGAGACGGGCCGAAGAAGAACUUGGCCGUGUGAAGAAGCAAUUGGAGGAGAGGCAAGGUAUGUUUGGACAUUGUCUUGCGUUGGGCACAAAUCAAUAAGUGUGCCUAUUUGAAAAGUAUUUAUGUUAUAUGCCCUAGGAGCGAGUGCCGAAUAUGAGGCGCUGAAGAAAGAGGCGGCUGAUGCCCAAGAGAAGGCUGCCGCCGAACAGGCUCUGCGUGAAAAACACGAGGCCAGGGUCGUCAUAGCUGAGCGGGAGCUUCAGGAUGCUAUGACGAAAAGCGAGAGCUUGGAGCAGAGUUUAGUACGGAAAGAAUCCGAACUCGCCCAAGCUCUCCAAGCUGCGGAAGAUGCUCGGGAAGAAGCCCGAGGUGUUGUACGGGACAUUCAGGAGGCCCGGAAAGUUGUGGCUGGUAAGGUCUGUUGUAUCUAUGGCCGUUAUGAUGUUAUAAUAUGGAGAACUCUAAGCGGCAAGCUGAAUUCUUGAUUUUGCAGGGGCGUUUGCGGAUCUGCCUCGUAGCAUAUCAGAUGCGGCCCAAUUUUAUCGGUCCGAGGAGAGGGAGUCUGCGGGGAGGAACUUCUGGUCGCAGUAUCUAGCGCUGAACUAUUCAGUGCCUUUUAUCGAUCACCUGAAGCAGCUGGUCAAACUGCACCAGGCGGCCGAACAGCCAUGAAGGACUUGGUCAUUCGGUUGUGGCCUGCAGAGCCAAUUCCCAGCAGUUUCUUCGGACUCAUUAAGCGGAUUGUGGGCGCAUGUCCUCGGCUUGAUAUUAUCAAGUGAUCAGUCUGUAUAGAAAGUGCGCGAAUGGUGCUUGCCCAUGCAAAAGUGCAUUGGGGGAAGCUUAACACAGAAAAACUGAUAACUAAGGGGCCACCAGAGGGUAAGGAGCAUCGCAAGCCCGAACUGUAUUAUGAAGGUGUAAUGAAGGGUGCCCGCCUGGCAGCGGAUAAGUGCACCAAAGACAUUAUAUUUCCCUGAGGGCAUUUUUGCCAUCGUUUGUAAUAUGGGAUAAUGGCACUUUUAUUAUAUGUUGCCUAUUUGGUUUGAACAUGUGUUCUUCCUUUACGGCUGUUUAUUGUAUAUAAAUUCUGAGAGUUGGCCAGUCAUCGGCUUCAGCCCCCACGAGAAAAGUACGGGGGUGUUCGGGGUAUUUCUGAACACUCUUUAUCCCAUUGUUGGGUCCUUAUAAGGAGGCGUUUCUCACCACGAACCAGGCAAUCGGACUAUAGGGCUUUACUACUCUCACUUAGCCAUAGGAAUUCGAGUAUGGUCGGCGCAGCCCCUUGUGUCCGGAAGGCCAGACUAGGGGCUCUAUUGGCGCCUGAUCGGUAGACCGAUCCGUUGCAAUCUACAUUUUAUAGUGGCGUUAUGCGGAAUAAAUCUUUAAGGAUUUUGCAACCUCUUGAACAGCUAGCCAGCUCUCGCCGCAUCAUGACAGUUGGUUUUCGGCUUUCUCUACUGAGGUGCUCGUCCGGCAGAUCCGGGACAUAAUCGCAGUAGUUAUCCCAGUGCUACCUUUGCCGACGGAACGGAACGUAAGGUACCAAAACAUGGGAGCCGGGCAAACCCAACCAAUGACCCAAGACAUGAUUCGGAGCUGAUGCAUAUAGUGCUAUAAGUUCGGGGUGCCGAGCGACCAAGAAGGUGGUCGGACUUUAUUGCCGUACUGUGGAGCGCCUAGCAUAACCGGGCGUAACACAAACCGUUGCUGCCACUUUUAUGGCAAAAAGGCGUCGAUGAUAAACGACGAACGGUCCAUGUUUAGUUAAGUCUACGCAUUGCAGUAAUAUGAUAUGUCCAUGCAUAUGAAUGCGAUUUAUGAUUAUGAAAAAGAGAUGGUUUUCUGGCAGAACCUGUGGUGGCCAGACUGGAGGGGGCUGUGAAUGGAUGAAAGUGAAUCCGAACUGUCGUCUACCUGCAUGGUCCUGUCCUUGUGUGUCCGGGCCGACUUCACGCCGCCAAACCUGUUCUGCAUAAGAGUUAGUUUGUGAAGGUAAGUGAGCGGAGGGCGCCGAACGUCCUCCUAUGGUUGGUCCAAAGGUUCCUAAUCGGACCCUGGUGACCCCAGCCGCUAUUCGAGAAGCAGCCCGGACUCCUAAGUUAGUGUCCGGAUAGUUGGCUGUCAUAUCAAAAAUAUUGACAGGCAUGCGCGACUUGCUACUCUGGCAGCUGUAUGAUCUCCGCUUCUGAGGGCGGGGUUUGGCUCUGCAUGCAGGCGUGAGUGUAUUACCGGUGUUGGCCUGAUGAUUUACCACGUGGAAUCUAGACAACGUGGUGCAUCCUGUUAGCAUACGGUGUGAUACCGUAUAGGGGGAAUGCGCCGAUGGCGCGGCUUUAUUUGGUUAUCUGAAAACAACCGUUAGGGCGGCAGGCCAAUGGUCCUGGCCUUUGUGCCUGGCACCUUGUAGAAGAUGUUAUUUGUACGCCCGCUUGGGCUUUUAUUGUUUGAGGAGCCCCUGGACUGUUAGGUCUUGGGGUAUGCAAUUGAAUUGUUGUGGUUUGUAUGGUAGGGGGCGAUCGGCCGUACUGUUGUGCUGGGGGGGGGGGGGCUUUUGACUAAGCGCCUCCCCUCAAUGUUUCCGGCACAUGCCUGGUUGCUUUAUUUUGGAGAUCUGGCAUUCUCUAUUAGUAUGUUUUGCCGUUCUUUUGGGAGUACCGUGAAUUUCGCACGGCUGAUCGAGUUCGUGGCUUGGGCCGAAUAGGCUUGAGCUGUUCCUUAUCCGUUGACUGGACUAGGAUUUGCUGAACUUGAUACCGGCUUCCCUGAUUUGUCGUUUAUGACCAUUGCACCAGGGCUUGAGGCUGCUUCUUCGUGUAUCCUUCUUGUUGGUUUGGACCGUAGUGGUGUGCGGACGUCGGGUUGUGUGCCUUUGAUUUUCCUGCUUAGGUUGAGGUAGCCGCGUGUGCCCUUUGUUAGGUGGUCGAGUCCGUACUUCUCGGUGGCCAGGAUCUUGGUCCACCAUUCUAUUAGCAAAUCCUGUUCGGACUUAAGCUGCUCUUGCUUCCUUUGCAGACUCUUUGCAGUGGCUAUGAGUCGUCGCCUAAAGCGAACUUGUUCCACUGGGUCUUCAGGCAUGCCAAAUUCGUCAUUGUUGAGGCUUACCUCGUCUUCGGAGGGGGGUGUAUAGUUGUUUCUCUCCAAGUAUCCCGCUGUGGCCUGUACGGCCUGCUUGAUGGUUGGCUGAUCAGGACUGUAUUCCCCUUCGGUACUAUCCGGAUCAUCUCCGGGACCGGUAUUGAUGUGGCGGGGCUUGGAGUGGCGUCGGAGACGCCCAUAUUUUGCUUUUCCUCCCGAGGGGUUGUCCUCCACUGCCUCGUCGCCGUUGGUUUCUUUCGGAGUGUCCACCAUGUAUAUAUCGUUUGAAGAGGUGGUUGUCCACCGCCCUAUGAGCAGUGGCUCCUGUAUGUCUCCUGCAUUGUCGUCCAUACCGUUGAUGUCUUCGAAGUCAAAGUCGAGCACGUUGGUUAAAUCAUCGAUUGUGGCGACGAAGUGGGUGGUGGGUGGGCAGUGAAUUCCUUCAUCGCCUACUUCCCACUCAAGCCGGACAUAAUUCGGCUCAGAGCCUCCUGACAGAGAGAGAGACUUUAAUGAAUUCAGCAUGUCACCAAAAGGCGAGUGCUGAAAGAUGUCCGCAGCGAUAAACUCCAUUACAGGAGCCCAGCCUGGCUCGGCUGGCUCGAGAGUGAGCGGACCAGGACCAACAACCGGAUAUGAGUCCGGGGCCCCAGGGUUACAGGCCUCCAGAGAGGUGAGACCCGUGUUCGGCUCCACCGCCGAUAAGUGUGCGGCCUGCGGGGCGGGGUCCAGCCCUCCGCCCGUAGGCAACGCAACCUGCCCUGGAUUUAGAUCCGGGGCUGCCUCGGGGAUGAUGUCCUGGGCAUUGUCCGACAACAGGUCUAGGCCGUGCUCGUCGUGGUUGUCCGGCGCUCCCGGCGUAGGCUUGAAUCCGUCGAAGAUCAAGUCUCCGCGGACAUCUGCCGUGUAGUUCAAGUUUCCGAACCAGAUCUGGCGGCCAGGGGCAAAGCUGUCGAUCUGCUCCAACUGGCCAAGCGAAUUGGCCCGUAGUGUGAAGCCGCCGAACAAAAAGAUCUGUCUGGGGAGAAAAGUCUCACCCUGGACCAUGUUGUUGACGGUUGAAGACGCCAUCAAGCCUCGAGGCGGCGACACAGAGGAACUCUCAAUGAAAGCACCAAUGUCGGUGUCAAAACCGACGGAUCUCGGGUAGGGGGUCCCGAUCUGUGCGUCUUAGGCUGAUGGUAACAGGAAGCGAGGGACACAAUGUUUACCCAGGUUCGGGCCCUCUCGAUGGAUGUAAAACCCUACUUCCUGCUUGAUUAAUAUUGAAGAUAUGUGGAAUACAAGAGUUGAUCUACCAUGAGAUCGUAGAGGCUAAACCCUAAGAGCUAUCCUAUGAUGGUAUGAUUGUAAUUGUGAUUGGCCUUCUAAGGACCAUGCUCUCCGGUUUAUAUAGACACCGGAGAGCUAGGGUUUACAUGGAGUCGGUUUACAAGGAAGGAAACAUAAUAUCCGGAUCGCCAAGCUUGUAUUCCACGCAAAGGAGAGUCCCUUCCGGACACGAGCCGAAGUCUUGAGUCCUUUAUCUUGAUGCUUCUAUAGUCCGGACGAUGUAUAUAGUCCGGCUGUCCGAAUACCCCCUUGUCCAGGACUCCCUCAAGCACCUCGCGAGGUACUCCCUGCCUUGAUCUCUCUGCCUCCUCACGAGCCUGCCCGGUGAGGCCACCCCUGAGGGGGCCUUGGAUCGUCCGCCCCGCAAGGCUUGGUCCCUCACGAGGGUUUUGAGCUUGGGCUGGUGUAGACGGGUCGUACUGGGCCACUGCUUGAGCCACGCCGCAGGCCACAGGCAGGCAAGUCUGGGGACCCCCGUUCCCAGAACGCCGACAGUAGCCCCCGGGCCCAAGGCGCUCCCGGACUUGGCUUAGUAGUGAUGCCAAAGGGCAAGUGCGGAGCGCCGCAGGCCCCAACAGCCUGCAGCCUUGGUCGCUGCAUGGCGGUUGAUUGAACGUGAGCGUCUCCGCUUCCCCAUGCUGCCUCGAUAACUGCCCGAUUUGAUGAGUCCCUGCUACAUGCAAAAUGAGUCAUGAUUACCUGCGAUCGUGGAGGCCGACGGUUGGCCUCCCUCAGGCUAUAAAUGUGGAGGGGCGCAGGCCCAUCCCCCUGCUGCACAUCUUCCUUCCCUCGCCUGAUUCUUCUUCCUCCUUGCUCCAGCUGCUUGCCGCAUCCCCAUGGCGCCCACGAAUUGGUUCUCGGCCGCGGAGAAGGGGAAAACUCACCAGGAAGGGCCUGGCUCCCCUCCGCCCAAGCGCGGCCGAGGUCGUCCUCACAAGCACCCCGCUACUCCUACAGCGGCUCCUCGUGGUCGCGGUGGUGGUCCUUCGCGCUGUGAUGGCUGACCGGUUGGCGCUGGAAGACGCGUCGUGGCUGUGCGGCCUCCCCGGCCACCCUUUCAUUCGGCAGAGGUACUGCCAGAGUUUGUCGUGUGGUCGGCAGAUCUGGCCGGCAACUGGCUCCAGCUCCCCCGCUUCUUUGUGGGCGAACUACCGGCUGAUGGCCCUAGUGGACUUUGGCUGCAGGCAGAUGGUUGUUGCAGCAGGGCCUCCUGGGUCGCGGUGGAGAUCUCCGUCGCCUGGAACGUGGCCCUAGCCCACGGCUGGCAGACGUUUGCCCACGCGCGUGGCCUGGGCCGGCGGUGCACCCUACACUUCAAGUUCGACGGCGACGCGACCCUCUACGUGAGGGUGUUCGAGGAAGAUGGCCGCCGUGCUGGCUGCUCCCCCGAAGACGACGGCGACGAGGUGUUUGGCCUUGGUGACAGCUGUGACGUGGGCGAAGGCGAACCCGCUCCUAGCGGCGUCCGCAGCUCGCCGAGCUUCAGCGGCUCCUCCUCUGGUGACAGCUCCUCUAGCGGUGGCCGCGAUCAGCCACCACGUCGCAGCGCCCGCUUCGAGGGUGGUAGCAGGUCAUCCCGCCGCUGUGCCCCGGUGAAGCGUGAGGCGGAGUCCGAUUGAGCUCGGGAGGGUGAUGCGGAUCCUUCCUCGCGAGCCGUUGCGGGCCGCGCCGCUUUCAUUUUGUUUUUCUCCUGUUCCUCUAUUGAGAGAGAGAGAAGUAUGGACCCCCGUGGGGGGCGUGCAAGACCAUCAUCCUUAGUUAUCAUGCUACUUUUAUCGUUCUCGUGUUGUGUCAUGGUGUUGCGGCUAUGCGCUUGCGCAUAGGAACAACUUAGCUCGGGAGGUUCACUACAGUUUCCGCUUCGCGAGGUACUUUCCUGAGGCCUCGCCAGGUAUCUUUAGGUCUGCAAAGAUCAGUCGGGAGGAUAGCUUUCGAACCUUUGUCGCGAGGGUGACCAGCUUAGGUCCGGCGUUUUGCAUCGCGAUGCCCGUGGGGCAUGGACCAGGAGGGGUGCUCCGCAGUGGACUUGAGUGAGGGAGCUUCACAAAAUCAGGCGAGAAAGGGCUCACGAGGGCGCCUGCGCAGCCCCCUCACGAGGCUUGCGAGUGAGAGAACGAGCCCGGCGAAAACCAAAGACAGAGAACAUGGGCAGGGGAUAGCAAAUAACACUAGAAGCAACUCCGAUAAAGAUUCAAACAAGGGGGAACAAGCCAACUGCAGAAAAGCAAAUGAAAAGCCACGUUCGGCACCUAGUCUAGUAUUCGACGUCUUCUCACCAGCGCGGAGCUAAGUGCUGCCACUGGGCGUGGGCAGGAGCCCCCGAGGCCCAAGGGCGGCACUCCGGAGACUCCGGGGCAUGUACAGCCCCAACUCAUUAUUACGUGAGAGUGUCACGAGCAGUGAGCUUCACAGGCACUAGGCCUUCUUCACAGGCACCGGGCCUUUCUUGGGGCGGCGAGAGCUUCACAGGCACCAGGCCUUCUUUGUAGGCAAUGGGCCCUUCUUCACCGGCACCGGGCCUUCUUUACAGGCACGGGCCCCUUCUUCACAGGCACCGGGCCUUCUUUACAGGCACGGGGCCCUUCUUCACAGGCACCGGGCCUUCUUUACAGGCACUAGGCCUUACUUCAAGGGUAGAACCUCCGGAGGUGCUGAAUGUUCCACGCAUUCGGGAUGGGCACCCCUUCCUGGGUCACCAAGUGCGCGGCGCCAGGUCUGGAAACAUGAACAACCUUGAACGGACCCUCCCACAUGGGAGAGAGCUUGUGCAGCCCUUCCCUGGAGAGCACCAGCCAGAGCACGAGGUCACCUACCUCGAGAGUCCUUGGGCGGAUGUGGCGGCAAUGGUACCGCCGCAGCGUCUGCUGGUAUCUUGCGGCUCGUAGUGCGGCCUCCCGUCGGCCUUCCUCCCCCAGGAUGAGGUCCAUCCCCCGCACGGUGUCCUACUGCGCUUCAUCAAACGCUAGGACCCGCGCGGAGCGACGCCUGACCUCGUGAGGGAGGACUGGCUCCGCUCCGUGGACAAGGAAGAAUGGGGUCUCGCCAGUCAACUUGGUGGCAGUAGUGCGGAUGGACCAUAGCAUGGACUGGAGCUCAUUGUACCAGCCCCUGCCGCAGGCCUCCAACUUCUUGAAGGUCCUGGUUUUGAGGCCCUUCAGGACCUCUGCGUAGGCGUGUUCGUCCUGGCCGUUACUCCAGGGAUGUGCCACCGAAGCGUAGCAUAUCUGUGUUCCAAGGUUAGCACAAUAUGUUUUGAAGAGAUUGCUGGUGAACUGCGAACUGUUGUCGGUGAUGAUGCGGUUAGGGACCCCAAAUCGGCUCACGAGGCCCUUGAUGAAUUUGACUGCAGAACUGGCCGAGAUGGUGCGGACGGCUUCCACCUCCGCCCACUUGGUGAACUUGUCGAUGGUGACGUACAAGUAGCGGUAGUCCCCAGACGCUCGAGGAAACGGGCCCAGGAUAUCCAGCCCCCAGACCACGAACGGCCACGAGAGUAGGAUGGUCUACAGGCUCUGAGCCAGCUGAUGAAUCUGCUUGGCAUGGAACUGGCAGGCUUCGCAAGCCUUCACCAGCUCGAUCGCAUCGUUGAGUGUUGUAGGCCAGUAAAACCCGUUGCAGAACGCCUUGCCCACGAGGGUUCGUGAUGACGAGUGGUGCCCACAAUCUCCUCCUUGAAUGUCUGCCAGUAAUUCCUUCCCCUGAUCCCUGGAGAUGCAACGCAGGGAAACAUCGUUUGGCCGCUUCUGGUAGAGCUCUCCGUCUUGGAUGCAGUAGGCCGUGGCCUGCCGGGCCACGCGUUCCGCGUCCUCCUCCUUCUCUGGUAGAGUCCCUUACAUCAGGUAGUCCUUGAAUUUCACAGUCCAGCAUCCCUCCUGAGGCUCCAGCCUGGAGCAUGUGUGCUCCCGAGGUCGGGCCACAGGCCGGGGCUCUUGAGGCAGGUGGUUGAGGGAGUUCCUUCCGAGGUUGUGUUGUGCUUGAUAGUGAUGUUGUUGCUGAGGGCUUGAAGAGUCGUUCCUCAAAAAUGCCAGGCUACUGAGGCAGACGCCUGGACGCCCUCCUGGUGAUGUCAUCAGCCUCUUGGUUGGUACCUCGGGGCACAUGCUGCAACUCCAACCCCCAAAACUGCUUUUCCAUCUUGCGUACCUCUGCAAGAUACGCCUCCAUGUGCUCAUCCUUUAGCUCAUACACCUUGUUGGAGAAGUUGACGAGGAGCUGUGAGUCUCCCUUGAUGACGAGGCGCUUCACCCCUAGUGCUGAUGCAGCCUUUAAGCCCGCUAUGAGGCCUUCGUACUCCGCUAUGUUGUUGGAGACCUUCUCGCCGUGCUGGAAACAAAGAAGUACAGCGUAAUAGAGCUUGUCCUGAGUGGGGGAUAUAAGCACUGUGCCAGCCCCCACGCCAUGUCGCGAGAAUGCUCCAUCGAAGUACAUGACCCAGCCAUCUGGUGCCUCACUUGCUAGGGAGAGUGAUCGAUCUUCGCAUGCUUCAAGCCCCGGCACCUCUGUCCAUUCCGCCACAAAAUAUGCAAGUGUCGCUCCCUUGACGAUCCUAGUUGUGCUGAAUUCCAACUGAAAUGCUUGCGGCUCAAUGUUCCAUUCGGCGACCCUUCUAGAAGAGUUGGGGCUCCUGAGUACCCUUUCCAAGGGGUAGGCCGAUACGACCUUGAUGGGGUGGCCUUGAAAGUAAUGCCUCAACUUGCGCGAGGCCACCAAUAGCGUGAGCAAGAGCUUCUGAGGCAUGGGGUAUCGUGCCCGAGCAUCUCGCAGCACUGUGCUGACGAAGUACACCGGAUGCUCGACGAGGGUGGGCAUGCUGAUGAGGGUCGUAUCCUUCGGAGAGCUAGGCACCUCCUGAUGCGUUGGGGCUUCCAGCACCUGGCUGCCCGGUGAGGCCACUUCAGCCCUGGGGGCGUCUUUCUGUUGAGGCUGGCCUUCAUCUGCCGAGGCCAUGACCUUCGUGAGGCUUUCUUGGUCUGGCGCUGCUGCGGUUGGGGUCACAUUCGACCGUGAUGCGGCCUUGGCUUGGCGCUCUUCCCGGACCGCCACCAGAGCUGCGCUGGCGGAGUAGGGCGUGGUGGCGAGGUAGAGCACCAGGGACUCCCGAGGGCGUGGCGCCACCAUCAUCGGAGGGCUGGUCAGGUACUUCUUGAGAUCUUGAAAUGCUUCGUCGGCCUCUUGUGUCCAUUCAAACGGGGCCUUCUUCUUCAUCAGCUUGAAGAAGGGCAGGGCGCGCUCCCCCAUCUUGGAGAUGAAGCGCCCUAACAUAGUCACGCGUCCGGCGAGCUUCUGCAUUUCCUUGAGGGUUUGCGGCGGACUCAUGUCUUCGAUCGCCUUGACCUUCUCUGGGUUGGCCUCGAUCCCCCUGUGGGACACGAGGAAGCCCAGAAGCUUGCCAGAGGGAACACCAAACACGCACUUCUCCGGGUUGAGCCGCAGGUCCACUUCAUGUAGGCUCGCGAAGGUUUCUUCCAAGUCGUGUAUCAAGGUCUUCGCUUCUCGAGACUUCACCACAAUGUCAUCGACGUAGGCCUCGGUGUUUCUCCCGAGCUAUCAGCCCAGGGCAAUGUGCAUUAGUCGCUGAAAAGUUGUGCUCGCGUUGCGCAACCCGAACGGCAUGCAGGUGUAGCAUUACACCCCGCACGGGGUCAGGAAGGCAGUCUUCUCCACGUCUUCUACCGCCAUCUUGAUUUGAUGAUAGCCUGAAAAGGCAUCCAGGAAGCACAGCAGGUCGCACUCAGUGGUGGAAUCGACAAUUUGGUCGAUGCGAGGGAGUGGGAAUGGAUCUUGAGGGCGGGCCUUAUUGAGGUUGGUGAAAUCGACGCACAUGUGCUCCUUUCCUCCCUUCUUUGGCACAACCAUAGGGUUUGCCAGCCAUUCGGGGUAGCGGACCUCGCGAAUGACACCUAUAGCUUCCAGCUGCGGGUUUCUUGGAUGAUGAAGGCUUGCUCCUCGGUGGACUGUCGCCUUGCUUUCUGCUUUGCGGGGCGUACAUUAGGGCACACGUUUAGGUGAUGCUCAAUCAUCUGUCUUGGGACUCCGGCUAGCUGCUUGGGUUCCCACGCGAACACCUCCUUGUUUGUGCGAAGGAACUUCACCAGUGCCUCCUCCUGGCUGGGGUCGAGAUUGGCACCUAUGGUGAAGGUGGCACCGGAGGACCCAUCCUCAUCAACUGGUACCUGCUUGGUUUCUGCCUUGUCUUGGGUGAACAAAUGCUUCUUCUUGGUUUGUGCAGCACCCAUGGCCUUGGAGGCGUCAGUGCUGGCGAGCUGUGCUGCCACAACUGUCUUGAGGGCGAGCUUGAGCGCCUGUAGAGCAUCUUUGGCAUCCCCAGCCACAGUGAGGGUGCCGCUGCUCCCGGGCAUAUUCAUGAGCUUGCAGGCCGGAUGGGUCGCUGCCAUAAAUUGGGCCAAGGCUAGGUAGCCGAGGAUGGCGUUGUACGGGAGGCCGAUGCGGGUGAUGUCGAAGUUGACCAGCUCCGUGCGGAAGUUGUCGUGCGUGUCGAAGGUUACCGGAAGGCGGAUCUGCCCGAGGGAGCCGGAGGAACCACCCCCGACGCCUAAGAAGGCCCUGCUGGGUUGUAGCCGUUCCAGUGGUACAUAGAGGAGGCUGAAGGCCUCCACUGAGAGCAUGUUGAGGCUGGCACCGCCGUCGAUGAGGGUCUUGGUGACGGCCACCUGGCAGAUGGUGGGCGUGCAAAGCAUUGGGAGCGCACCCAAGCAAGUAGUGUUGUCGGGGUGAUCGUCGGAGCUGAAGGUCAGGUCAGCCUCGGGCGCCGCCCGACCCGGGGGAGCUCCAUGGCGCGUGAGGGCGGCGCCAAUCUGGCGGACAAACAGCUUGACGUGGCGGCCCGAGGGUGGCGCCUGCGAGCCGCCCAAGAGAGCUGCGAUGACCGGGGGCGCCGGCAGUGUAUUGGGUGAGGAAGAGGUUGUGCAGCUCCUCCUAGGAGGCCACAGAAGCCGCUGGCAGGUGAAGCAGCCACAUGCGCGGGAUGUCGGGGAGGGUCGUGGGGAGCCAGUUGGCCAUAACCUUGUUGUCGCCCCCGACCUUGAGGACGGCCCGCCGGCAGGAAAACCAGCGGGUCUGCCGCAUCAUUGUAGAGCGGCGGCAUCUCUGGCUUCAACUUGUGCGGCCACUGCACAUGUCGCAAGGCGGGGCCAAGGCUCAGAGCCCCCUGGCCCCAGCGCUGGCGUCGACCACCGGAGCGGGCGGCGCGUUGUCCGCCAUGAGGGCGAAGCGCGGUGUUGAUGGAGAGCGGGUCGGCAGAAGAGGAAGCUCCGGCGCACCCCUACCUGGCGCGCCAAAUGUCGGAUAUCGGGUUCCGGCAAAACCCUUAAGGUUCGAACUCUAGGGUCCGCACGAAGAUCUUCUCCCUACCGAUCCACGCCCCAAAGCUUCACCGCGAAUCUAAGCUACAUGAUGAACAACACAAGGUUUAUACUAGUUCAGGCCACCGUUGUGGUGUUAUACCCUACUCUAGUGUGUGGUGGUGGAUUGCCUCUGGGGCUGAUGAUGAAAAGUACAGAGGAAGAACAGCCUCGCGAGGGGAGUUCUUGAGCUGGUGGGUUUGGAGAGGAAUGGAUCCGUCUCUGUUGGCUAUCGGUCUGAUCUCUUGAUCCCCUCUCUACUGUGGUGGCUAUCUCUAUUUAUAGAGGCCUUGGUCCUCAUCCCAAAUAUUGAGCAGGAAGAGAGCCAACAACGGUCAUUUUGAAGGGGGGCAGCUAGUACAAGUUAUCCUGACUAAAGUUGGUCUUCGACUGCCAAAGGCACUGGCGAUGACGCCAUCUUGGGCUCCAUGGUGACCUCUGUCCUGCCGCUCUACUGGUCUUGGUCCCGUUGCACCGAUAUGGCAACCUUUGCUUGAUGCCUCGGUACUCCAUGCCUACGCUUGCCCCCUUUGCACCAAAGAGGAAGCGAGGACACUGCGCUGGCUGGCGCCUGCCUGGUCUCGGUCGUCAUGGCUUGCGUCAUGAGCACCUUGCGAGGUACUCCCUUCCUUGAUCUUUCCGCCUCCUCACGAGCCUGCCUGGCGAGGCCGCCCCUAAGGAGGCCUUGCAUUGUCCUCCCCGCGAGGCUUGGUCCCUCGCGAGGGUCUUGAGCUUGGGCUGGUGUAGACGGGCCGUACUGGGCCACUGCUUGAGCCACGCCGCAGGCCGCAGGCAUGCAAGUCUGGGGACCCCAUUCCCAGAACGCCAACAAUUGCAAACAUGUUUAUUCAUAAUAGGCUGAAUCAGGAACGAUGAACUCAUCAUAUUUACAAAAACAAGAGAGGUCGAGUUCAUACCAGCUUCUCUCAUCUCAAUCAGUCCAUCAUAUAUCAUCAUUAUUGCCUUUCACUUGCAUGACCGAACGGUGUGUAUAAUAAUAAUAGUGCAUGUGCUUUGGACUAAGCUGGAAUCUGCAAGCAUUCAAUUCAAGAGAGAAGACAAGGUAAUAUGGGCUCUUGGUUAAAUCAACAGGCAUGCAUAUUAGAGCCACUAAGCAUUUUCAUUAUGGUCUUCUCCUCUCGACCCCCAAAGGAAAGAAAAAGAAAUAAAACUAUUUACACGGGAAAGCUCCCAACAAGCAAAACAAGAAUGAGAAAUCUUUUUGGGUUUUCUUUUUAAUUACUACUACAGGCAUGGAAAUUAAACUAAAUAAUUUUUUUGGUUUUUUUAAGGUUUAUUAAACACACAAAAAGAAAGCUAGAAAAAGAAUUUAAACUAGCAUGGAUAAUACAAUGAAAAAGUAUGAGCACCGACAACUAGAAUGAAUGUGUGAACAUGAAUGUAACGUCGGUGAGAAAUACGUACUCCCCCAAGCUUAGGCUUUUGGCCUAAGUUGGUCUAAUGCCAAAGAUAGCCUAGCUGAUAUCCGAAGUUAUAACUGGGGUCAUACUGAGAAGCAGCAGCCAAUGCCUCCUGAGCUGCGGCAUGUUGGUGAGCUGCCUCCGCUCUCCUCUCGUGUUCGGUUGCCUCCUCCAUGGUUACAACAUAUCUUAUUUUUGCCUGGUAAUCAAAAAGGGAAGGAGCAGGGAGAGUAAUAUGGACAACGCGACGUCUGUCGAAGAUUAGUCGAUACUGGAGGAAUUGUUCAUUCCUCACAAGAAAACGAUGACUUACCAUAGCUUCAUAAUCUAAAUAAGCAGGAGGUAACUCCCUAUCAUCCUCACGUGGAGGUAUACCAAGAUAAUUAUCAAUGCGGGUUGCAUAAAUCCCUCCAAACAAAUCUCCAGAUAUACCAUUAUUAUGCAACCUACAUGCAACUAUUGCCCCCAAGUUGUAAUCUUUAUUACCUAAUACAACACUCUUGAGGACACAAAGGUCAGGGACACACAUGUGACAUGCUUCAUCUUUACCAUUAAUGCAUGUACCAAUGAAGAGAGAAAAAUAAUGUAUAGCAGGAAAAUGAAUGCUCCCUAUGGUAGCUUGUGCUAUGUCCCUAGAUUAUCCCACAGUGAUACUAGCUAGAAAAUCUUUAUAUUCAGAUUUACGGGGUUCAAUAACAUUACCCCACUGUGGGAGUCUGCAAGCAGUGGUGAAAUCUUCUAAGUCCAUGGUAUAAGAUUGAUCAUAAAUAUCAAACAGGACAUUCUAAGAAUUACGUGAAGAUGUAAAUUUAAACCUUCUCACGAAUGAAUCAGUUAAAUCACAGUACUGAGGACACUUAUCUUGCAUGAAGUCCUCAAGAUCGGCAUUACGCACAUAUGCGUCAAAUUCAUCCUUGAUGCCUGCAUCGACCAUAAACUCUUCUGACAGCCAUUCAUAAGGCCGCAGAUCAGCUUCCCUUGGUAGUUCAUCAUCUUGCUCACGCAUAGCACGUCUGGGUCCUCUCUUUGUUGAGGAACCACUUUGGUACAUUUUCCUGGACAUAUUUCUUCCUCUGAAAAAUUUCUGAAAUUUUUAGUAACUUCAAAAUAAAAGUGAAUCAAACUCAACAAAAUUGAUAGCAACUACUCCCACAAGUGCCUAGAGCCUACAUCAUGCAUUAGAAUUACUUGGGACCUCAUAAAUUUUACAUGCAAGCUCAAGAACAGGGUCACCUAUGCGGCAAAAAUUUGCAAUGAAUAAAGCACUAGAUCAAAAACUAAUUGGACAAUUGGAGGAGUCACAUACCAAGCAACAAUCUCCCAAAGCAGUUUUGUGAAAGGAGCUUUGAGCAAGGAGAUCGAAAAUCGCAGCAAAAUGAGCUAGAACUCUUGCUUGAGCUGGAUGGGGAUUUUUUUGGGGGGAGGAAGAUGGAGUGUGUGGGUGCAGGAAUAAGUGGAGAGGGCCACCAUGGGCCCACGACGCAGGGGGCGCGCCCAGUAAGAGUGGGCGCGCCUUGGACCCUCGUGGCCAGGUGCUUGCCCUCCUGCUGUGUUCUCAGUGCCUAAAAUCCUCAAAUAUUCCAUAAAAAUCAUACUAAAUUUGCAGGGAAUUUGGAGAACUUUUAUUUUGGGAUAUUUUUUAUUGCAUGGAUAAUUCAGAAAACAGACAGAUAAUACUAUUUUUGCUUUAUUUAUUCUAAAUAACAGAAAGUAAAAAGAGGGUACAGAAGGUUGUGCCUUCUAGUUUCAUCCAUCUCAUGAUCAUCAAAAGGAAUCCACUAACAAGGUUGAUCAAGUCUUGUUAACAAACUCAUUCCAAAUAACAUGGAACCGGAGAAAUUUUGAAUAACACUAGGUUACCUCAAUGGGGAUAUGAACAUCCCCAAUAAUAAGAAUAUCAUACUUUUUCUUGAUAGUGGGAAGAGGGAAUUCAAAACCUCCAUAAUGAUAGUUGGAACUUUUCCAAUAGAAUUGAUGUUGUGAACUUGAGGUUGUUUCCUCGGAAAGUGUACCGUAUGCUCAUUGCCAUUAACAUGAAAAGUGACAUUGCCUUUGUUGCAAUCAAUAACAGCCCCUGCAGUAUUCAAAAAGGGUCUACCAAGGAUAAUCGACAUACUAUCGUCCUCAGGAAUAUCAAGAAUAACAAAGUCCGUUAAGAUAGUGACAUUUUCAACUACGACAGGCACAUCCUCACAAAUACCAACAGGUAUAGCAGUUGAUUUAUCAGUCAUUUGCAAAGAUAUUUCAGUAGGUGUCAACUUAUUCAAUUCAAGUCUACGAUAUAAAGAGAGAGGCAUAACACUAACACCGGCUCCAAGAUCACAUAAAGCAGUUUUAACAUAGUUUCUUUUAAUGGAGCAUGGUAUAGUUGGUACUCCUGGAUCUCCAAGUUUCUUUGGUAAUCCACCCUUAAAAGUGUAAUUAGCAAGCAUGGUGGAAAUUUCAGCCUCCGGUAUCUUUCUUUUAUUUGUAAUGAUAUCCUUCAUAUAUUUAGCAUAAGGAUUUACUUUAAGCAUAUCGGUUGCGCGCAUACGUAAGAAGAUAGGUCUAAUCAUUUCAGCAAAGCACUCAAAAUACUCAUCAUCCUUUUUCUUGGAUGGUUUAGGAGGAAAAGGUGGGUUUCUGAACCCAUGGUUCUCUUUCUUUACUGUGCUUCCUAGCAACAAAGUCCCUCUUAUCAUAACGUUGAUUCUUUGAUUGUGGGUUAUCAAGAUCAACAGCAGGUUUAGUCUCUACUUCAUCAUUAUUGCUAGGUUGAGCAUCAACAUGAACAUUAUCAUUAACAUUAUCACUAGGUUCAUGUUCAUCACCUGAUUGUGUUUCAGCAUCAGAAAUAGAAAUAUCAUUGGGAUUCUCAGGUGUGUCUACAACAGGUUCACUAGAAGCAUGCAAAUUCCUAUCAUUUUUCUUUUUCUUCUUUUUAGAAGGACUAGGUGCAUCUAUAUUAUUUCUCUGAGAAUCUUGCUCGAUUCUCUUAGGGUGGCCUUCAGGAUACAAAGGUUCCUGAGUCAUUCUACCAGUUCUAGUAGCCACUCUAACAGCAAAAUCAUGUUUAUUAUUUAAUUCAUCGAGCAAAUCACUUUGAGCUUGAAGUACUUGUUCUGCCCGAGUGGUAACCAUAGAAGCAUAUUUGCUAAUGAGUUUAAGUUCACCUUUAACUCUAGCCAUAUAAUCACUCAAGCGUCCUACCAUGAAAGCAUUACUCUUUAACUCUCUACCAACAUAAGCUUUAAAACUUUCUUGCCUAGCCAUAAAGAUAUCAAAUUCAUCUAAGCAUUGGCUAGGAAAUUUAGUAGAGGGGAUUUCAACUUUAUCAUAUCUAUAGAGAGAAUUUACCUCUACUACCUGUGUUGGUUUAUCAAGACAAUGUGUUUCUUCAACAGGCGGUAUAUUAAGACCAUGUAUUUCUUCAAUAGGAGGUAAAUUCUUAACAUAUUCAGCUUUAAUACCUUUUUCUUUCAUUGAUUUCUUUGCCUCUUGCAUAUCUUCAGGACUGAGAAAUAGGACACCCCUCUUCUUCGGAGUUGGUUUAGGAAUAGGCUCAGGAGUUGGCUCAAUUGGCUCAGGAAUUGGCUCAGAAAGAGUCCAAUUAGUUUCAUUCGUCAACAUAUUAUUCAAUAACAAUUCAGCUUGGUCGACUGUUCUUUCCCUGAAAACACAACCAGCACAACUAUCCAAGUGGUCCUUGGAAGCAUCAGUUAGUCAAUUAUAAAAGAUAUCAAGUAUUUCAUUUUUCUUAAGAGGAUGAUCAGGCAAAGCAUUAAAUAAUCUUAAGAUCAUAUCUAUCAUUGCAAGCAAGAAUAGCUCUAGCAGCUUCUUCAUCCAUAACAUAACCCUCAGGAACAACAGGCAAUUCAUACUUAGGGGGAGAACCUUCAUCAUCACUAUCAUCAAUAAUUUCAUCUUCAAUAAUAUCAUUCUCUCUAACCCUAGCAAGUUGCUCAUCUAGAAAUUCACCUAAUGGCAAAGUAGUAUCAAGCAGAGAAGUAGUUUCAUCAUAAGUACCAUGCAUAGCAGAAGUGGCAUCAUCAAUAACAUGCGACAUAUCAGAAUUCAUAGCAAUAGCAGGUUUAGGUGUCGCAAGCUUACUCAAAACAGAAGGAGAAUCUAGUGCAGAGCUAGAUGGAAGUUCCUUACCUCCCCUCGUAGUUGAGGGGAAAAUCUUAGUUCUUUCGUCUUUCAAGUUAUUCAUAGUGAUCAGCAAAUAUAAAUCCCAAGUGACUCAAAGAAUAGAGCUAUGCUCCUCGGCAAUGGCGCGAGAAAAUAGUCUUUAUAACCCACAAGUAUAGGAAAUCGCAACAGUUUUCGAGGGUAGAGUAUUCAACCCAAAUUUAUUGAUUCGACACAAGGGGAGCCAAAGAAUAUUCUCAAGUAUUAGCAGUUGAACUGUCAAUUCGACCACACCUGGAUAACUUAGUAUCUGCAGCAAAGUAUUUAUUAGCAAAGUAGUAUGAUAGUAAUGGUAACAGUGGCAAAAGUAACGAUAGCAGUUUUGUAGUAAUUGUAACAGUAGCAAAGGAAAAGUAAAUAAGCAAAGCACAAUAUGUGAAAAGCUCAUAGGCAUUGGAUAAGUGAUGGAUAGUUAUGUCGGAUGUGAUUCCUCAUGUAAUAGUUAUAACAUAGGGUGACACAGAACUAGCUCCAAUUCAUCAAUGUAAUGUAGGCAUGUAUUCCGAAUAUAGUCAUACAUGCUUAUGGAAAAGAACUUGCAUGAAAUCUUUUGUCCUACCCUCCCGUGGCAGCGGGGUCCUAAUUGAAACUAAGGGAUAUUAAGGCCUCCUUUUAAUAGAGAACCGGACCAAAGCAUUAGCACUUAGUGAAUACAUGAACUCCUCAAACUACGGUCAUCACCGAGAAGUAUCCCGGUUAUUGUCACUUCGGGGUUGUCGGAUCAUAACACAUAAUAGGUAGCUAUAGACUUGCAAGAUAGGAUCAAGAACUCACAUAUAUUCAUAAAACAUAAUAGGUUCAGAUCUGAAAUCAUGCCACUCGGGCCCUAGUGACAAGCAUUAAGCAUAGCAAAGUCAUAGCAACAUCAAUCUCAGAACAUAGUGGAUACUAGGGAUCAAACCCUAACAAAACUAACUUGAUUACAUGGUAAAUCUCAUCCAACCCAUCACCGUCCAUCAAGCCUACGAUGGAAUUACUCACACAUGGCGGUGAGCAUCAUGAAAUUGGUGAUGGAGGAUGGUUGAUGAUGACGACGGCGACGAAUCCCCCUCUCCGGAGCCCCGAACGGACUCCAGAUCAGCCCUCCUGAGAGAGAUUAGGGCUUGGCGGCGGCUCCAUAUCGCAAAACGUGAUGAAACUUCCUCUCUGAUUUUUUUUUCUCCGCGAAACGGAAUAUAUAGAGUUGCAGUUGAGUUCGGUGGAGCAUCCGGGGGGCGCGCCCAGGGGAAGGGGCGCGCCCCCCACCCUCGUGGACAGGGUGUGGGGCCCCUAGCCUUGAUUCUUUUGCCAGUAUAUUUUUUAUUUUCCAAAUGUUAUCUCCGUGGAUUUUCAGGUCAUUCCGAGAACUUUUAUUUUCUGCACAAUAAAUAACACCAUGGCAGUUCUGUUGAAAACAGCAUCAGUGCAGGUUAGUUUCAUUCAAAUCAUGCAAGUUAGAGUCCAAAACAAGGGCAAAAGUGUUUCGAAAAGUAGAUACGUUGGAGACGUAUCAGCGGUCGCGGGCGGCGGAGCCUUUGAGGUGGACGGGUGAUUUCCAGCUCCGGGCUUCUUAGGCGCCAUAGUCAAUGGCAUCGCCGAUGAUGAAAAUGGCGAUGAGGAUCACGUGCUGCUCAAGCUUUCAGGUUUGUGCAAGUGAUCCCCCUACUUGGCGCGCCAAAGAUGUUGUGGGGAACCACGACCACCUAUGGGGCAACGAACCCCUUUCUGGUUCGGCGGGGGGAUGGCACGUUGCACAAAGAGCAGAGGAGUGUGAGACAUCACGACAGAGAUCACACGGGUGGUUUUUACCCUAGUUUGGGCCGCCGCGAGGCGUAAAACCCUACUCAUGCUUUGGUGGAUUGAUGGUGGAUGGUGGUGGAAAAAUUGUAGCGUUCUUGCCCGGCAGGGUUGCCUUGGGACAAGAAUGGCUACGCGUGUACGAGUGUACAAGGGUCCGAAAUCUUUUGUAUGGUUGCCAUGGGCCUCCUUUUAUAGAUAAAGGGGUCACCACAGUGGCAAAUCAGUCAUUACACAUUGAUUAGAUAGGAAAAUGUGAUAUCCUACCUAACUCUGCAGGCUGACAGAGCGCAUUAAAUGUGGCACUCAAUGUCACAUCAUAGCUUGCCCGAUAGGCUCUUCCGGGCCGUUUCGCCAGCUUGGCGCCUACUUGCUUGACACGUCGCAGGACGGGUGUCGCUUGUAGGUAUUUUCUAUAGGAGGUAGCUGCAAUGUGGCAUUUAGCAGCCACUUAGUCACCUUGGAGCUUGACACCAAACUAAUCGACGACGUGCGUCAUGGAGAUGUGGUGCAGUGAAGUGGUUUUGUCUUUGCGGUCCCGGUAGGCCUGUCGGGAUGAUUCGGCAGAGGCUUGCUUCCAGGGAAAACCUUGUCUCCGCCAGGCUCGCCUGCCCGGCAGGGGAGGUUUUUCCCUUAGCGGUAUCUUGCACCUCUGGCUAGUCUUAUCCUUCUUGAUCUCUUGCUUGGAUCCUUCAAGGGGAUCGACCCAUCUUGCUUGAGUUGAUCAUGGUGUUGUAAACUUGUCCUCGUGCAUGUGCACAGUCCGGGCAACGGACCCAGGGUUUGUUGCACCGACAGAAGCCCCCGGGCCUGGCGUGAUCGUGCCGCUGGGCGUCGACGGGGUAGUCCCUAAUAAGUGCACAUGCAAGAGUGUUGAAGUGGCUUCGUCCCUUGAGAUUUUCCUUGCUUGUUCAUUAUCUUCAGGCUGGGCCAGUUUCCGGUUUUUCCGCACAUCGCGUAACACCAAUUGUGGUGGGACCAUUCUUGUAAUGGCUCAUGAAUGACUUUAACGCAGGGGCGGGUAACCGCCAAUUCACUUCCCACCAUGCCCUUAUCCUUUGCCACGUAUGUCGCAUGCAUCAAGUGGGGUAGGUAACGGAGGCGCGUGGUGCGGAGGGGCAUCAAGGUAGGGGCCCUGGUCUUCUAGGAUUGGUGGAGGAGGACGGUGGUUACUCAUCGGGAAAUCAGCCACCCAGCCCCCAGCUCACCUAUAAAAGGAGGAGCGUGGGAGGAGUGGAGGCAUUCAUCCAUAUCCCUCUCCUCCUCCAUUUUGCUUUGUCUUGAGUAUGCUGGAAGGGAGAGCCCGGGGCCCGAGCUGAUGACGCCAAGCAAUGGUGCUGGCGCUCAGGGAGUGGGUCUGGUCCAAGUCCAAGGCGAAGGGCUUGGGAUCGUUAGAAAUCCCACUACUACCCCUUUCCUUGGAACCGGGGUUGAUGUUGACGAGGAGGGUGCCUUCCUGCCUGCCAAGGUGAGGUGCGGCGUGCCUCGGGCGUCCUGGUUACUCCCGCUGCUAAUCGUCUCUCCGGGUAAGGCGAUGGCUUGUGGGUCCGGCGUCUUCCUGAAGUGGUGGUGAAGGAGGGAAAGCGAGGGACGGUGAGGAAGGCGGGUGAUGGGACGUCAGGUCGGAGUACGAUGGCGUCGACGCCUUCGUAGCGUAUUGCCGACCGCCCCAUCUUCCUGCUUCCCCCUUCCCUCCCCGGCACCAUCAUCACCAGUCUCUUUGGGUGAUAGCCAGGGAGGGAUGUUCCCUUGGUGCCUUCAUCCCCCUCUAGUGGUCUUCCAGCCGACCGUUGGUGGUUGAUUCCUCCAUCGCUCGAGCUGGAGCUCCUUGCUGGUCCUGGAGGUGAUAAUCAGGCGCACCGCCGAGCUGCCCUCCAGGUCCCUCCUUCGCAGACUCGCCACUCCCGACCUUGCCAGGCUGUGCCUGGCAGGCCGUGACGAGAUCGGGGUGGGCUCCUGCUUGGAGCGCUCCCCUAGUCCUCUUCCAUUCCCACCGAAGUACCUGAUGGAGGGAAAACGUAAAGAGCAGUCUUCAGGGGACACUUAUAUUUUUUCAAUCUUAAAUCUGUAGGCACUUGCCAAAUUUUAGUUCAAAUAAUGUAAUCCCUUGAAUCCAUGUUUGUGUACUGUAAGUUUUGUACUUGUUUGAAGCAUAUAAAUGAAAAACAUAAACCUUGUCUGGGACUCGUGCAUGUAUAUGGCCAUGCAGAGGUGGAAUGCCUCUAUAUUUAAAUAAACGAGUUUUCCCAGUAGGCUAUCCUGUCGGUACCCUCUAUUUGGCUGUCGGGGAGCUAUGCUUGUCGGGCACAAAUUGUAAUGAAAGGACUUCAAACAAUGGACAUCCAGCCCUCAGACUUGCCGAGAGUGAAAAAAAUCAUUUUCCAAGUUGCUCAAAGCAAAGAUAUAAUACCAUAAAUGGAUCGGGUCAUUCAUAAGAAUCCAACGAGCUCAAGAACGUCAAAUUCUGAGUUUGUAUAAAGAAAUGGUGGACAAUGUCCUGAAGAGGUCCAGAGAAAAUGACGAUGUAUCAUACGACCAUAGCUCGUCGUACGCGCGGUCGUUUGGAAGGAAAUCGAUCUCAAAAGUUUCCUCUCCAGAUUUGAUUCUUCACCGAUUUCGUCCGUAUUUGUUCCUACGACUUCCUUGGCCUUCAAGGGAUGUUUUGGGAGAGGAUGAGGCUCACGUAGAGCCCUUGGAUCAAAGGGGAGAUGCUAUAUGAAUGGAGGAGGCUACCGGAGAGCCAUUAUAUAAACACCUUCAACCCUAGCCAACGUGUCCAUCUCAUAUCAUUUGUCAUUCAUCAUUCAUCUCCAUGUCCAGCCACUGUCCACAUCAAGAAAACCAUAGUUGCAACCAAGAGGGAGACCAAAGGGAGCCAUCGCCACCGCGCCAUCACCACCAUCAUCUACUGUCGCUUCAUCAUUGUCACCAUCACCACCCCUUCUUCCUGCUCCAUAACAGUCUCUGUGAUGGGUUGUAACAACUCUUGAACCCCUUAUAUGUGAUGUUAUUUGAGUAAUUAUUAGCUAUGGGUCGGUCGAUUAGUAAGUGGUUGUUUGAUAUGUUUUGUCUAUUUAUGUGUAUUUAUUUGUGUUGCUUACUUACCUCUGCGGUAAUUUAUUGAUUGGAGACGUUCAAUCCAUUGGCGUAGUUGGAGAUGUUCAAAUAUUAGGCCACACAUGAAGUUGAUAGAAUGUUGUGAAAACCGGUAGACCUGUGAUGUGACAAGUGCAGACAUCUUAAGGGGAACAAAAUUAUUCUAGGAGCAUGAUUGUCCAUAGAACUUAUUGCCUUCGUCCGGUCCUCAUGACCUUAAUAUCUUUGUGUUUCCCUCCACAGGUAUGGGACAAGAAGUAGGACGAAUGAGUUACCUCAAUACAGCCCAUCUUGAGGGAUAAUAUUAUGCAAGGGAUCGCCCACCAUCAGUACAUUGACGUAUCCUAUAAUGCAGGUACUGACUUAGCCACCACAUGGCAUAGUCAUAAAUCUUAACACCAUUUUGUGCCCGUACCGAAUUAGACCAUACCUAGAUGCCAACAAUCUCAUCUAAAACAUCACAUAGUUCUCUUAGUUUAUUUUCCUUCGUAUAUAUUAUUUAUGUUAUGUUCUCUCUAGUACUUAGUUCUCCCUUUUACCGUUCCCUAGCAACCUACUCGAGUGAACUAUUUCCAAACUACGGUUUGGGUGUGAGCGUAGUUGUGUUAAGUGGCAAAGGGGAUUGUGGUGCCAUCCUAUUCGCUCCCUAUGGGAUCGAGAAACCUUACUUAUCAUGAAAUUUCUACAUAGCCAUGUGAACUUGCAGGCCAUCAAAAACCUAAUUUUUAUUGGUCUAGGUGAAAGCUUACUUCAUAAGGUCUGGUCUGCAAAAAGUUUCACUCAAUUUGGACCUACUCAUAAAACUUAUAAGGGUUAAAGUUCCAGGGGGUUUCUGUAAAACUACCAAGUGUUUUUAAUUUAAAUCACAAAAUAUUGUGGAUAAGGCUAAGACACGUGGAUAGAUCCUACUGGUCUAUACCGAUUCGGUUAUGUGAGUGCGCAUGGGGUCAUGCGCUCGGUUGUGAUCAGGUACGUGGGCAAGCGACGUGGGCGGCAGUUAAUGGACAAAGAUGAAGUUAACAGGUGGGGUCAACUUGUCAGUGAGAGAGAGAGGGCGUGCAGCUGGCUAGCUAUAUCGUUGUGUUAGAUGAGACUCUAGGUUUAGGUUGUUCUUUCUUUUUGGUUCCCUUUAUAAAUUCAAAACUAUUUAGAAAUGGAAUUUUCUUCCAAAAGUUAACUAGCCUAAAUUCCAAAUGGAUACUCCUGAUGUGGUGAUCAUUUUAUUUGCCCCCUUUGGCCAAAUAACUUCUACCACCUUACAUUUUUCUUUUUCUAUUUUCAGUUCCUUUUUGAACUUCAAUCUGGUAUGAAACCAAAUAUACUCUAAAUCUAACUUGGAAUAUUAAUAGAAAGUCAAGUAUUUUAUUUGGACUUAUGGUAAUUAUUUUUCUUGCCAAAUAAUGCAAGACCCUUUUAAAUAAUUUUCCCUUUUGAUUUUUGAAUUCAAUCCAACAUAAAUUCAUUUCUACUAUUUGGGAAAUUUAUCAGGGUUAUGAGUAUCAUUUUGAACUUAUUAAGAAUACCUUUAUGCCCAAAUAAAUAUUUCAAUUUGUCACCCUAUUUUAGGAUUCAAAAUUAUUCCCUAAAACCUUUUAGGGUUCACUUUGUUUUACCAAUUUCAAUCUCGGGUUCAAAUGUUGGCAUAGGGCCUUUGGCCCUCUAAGUUAAUCAAUUAAAUCAAUCACAAGCAAAUCCUAGGGGAUGUUAGAUAAUUAGAGAGCAAGCAAAGUUUUUUCUACAAAAAUAUCAAUUCUCUGUGAAAUUUUAAACAUACCAGAUUUAGGGAAAAUCUGGGAUGCGACAAAGACGCAGUUUUAUUCUUGUCAUUGACUACACAAUAAAUAUCCCAGAACUGGGUGCCUAGAGGUGAGUUUACAAACCAAAUAUCUUCAUGAAACAACACUAUUUGCCAUUACCUAAAAACCACUUAUAUCCAAAUGUAACAGCUUUCAUAGCCCACAUAACCCCUUUCCAAAAUUGAGAAGGAUGUGGAUCAUGGCAGCAAAUAGUAUUAAGGUUCUUAGUAUUAUACUUAGCAUCUAUAACUCUACUCCAUAGAGUCCCUUCUCCUAAGAUAUAUGUUUUAACCCAGGAGACGGUAAGGCAAAUAUUCAUAUCAUGUAUAUUAUGAACUUCCAUCCACCAUAUUCCCUUUUAAUGCAUAUGGAGGGCCAAUUGGCAAGGUGCAUCUUUUUUCCACCUUUACUGUCACUUCAGAAAUAAUUAUAAAACCAUGAAUUAACCAAAGGCACAUACCAUUUCAGGAACUUAUAGGAAGAUAACAUGUAAAUAGAAAUACUACACAGAUAAAUCCUAACAAAGGUGACUCUCCCUAAUAAGGACUAGGGGCUUACCCUCCAUCUAGCCAGCAUGGACAACAUGGCAUCAACUAGAGAUUGGAGGUCCUCUCUCUUGAUCUUAUCAAAUUGCAAAGGAACUCUAAGUACUUAAUAGGCAAGCCCCCUUGACUAAAUUAAAAAUAUCCAAGAAAGGUUUAUCCUCUCCAGGUUCUAAAUUUAUAGGCACCAAUUCACUUUUGUGAUAAUUAAUAGACAUCCCUGAAACCAACUCAAAGCAAGUCAAGAUGCACUUAAGAUUUAAAGCUACUGGACGGUCAUUAUCUAUGAACAACAAAGUAUCAUUUGCAUAAUGCAGACACACUACACCACCAGGGCAAAAAUUAGGGAAGAUCCCUCUAACUAGCCCAACUCGUCAUCCUUUCACUAAUAUCCUAGCAAACACAUCCACCACCAAAUUUAAAAUUAAUGGGGAUAAAGGGUCUCCCUGUCUCAAAUCCCUACUAGUGAUGAAGAAGUAAGUUUACUCACCAUUAAUCUUCACAUCCACUGAUCCUGAUGGGCGAGUCUCCUAAUCCAACCAAUCCAUUUAGCACCAAAACCCCUAAGUUCAAGAACCCCAUACAAAAAAUAUAUCUAAACUAACCCUGUCAUAAGCCUUUUCAUAAUCAAUCUUAAAUACAAGGCCUUUCUAGCCAAAAGAGUGUACCGAGUGAGCAACCUCAUGGGUAGUCACCACAAUCUCCAAAAUAAACCUACCUCUAACAAAAGCAGAUUGAUGCUCAGAGAUUAGUCUGUCAAUAAUCAGAGCUAGUCUAUUGGUAGACUUUAGUAAAGAUCUUAAAACAACAAUUGAAGAGAUUUAUAUGCCUAAAUUUCUUUAUGUUUCUCGCAUCGACUUUUUUAGGAAUAAGAGUGAUGGAAAAUCAAGUCUAAAGAUGUCUUGGUUUAGAUCAAACCAGACUUCAAAUGACUAUCAAAUAUACUUUAAUAAUGUCAUAGAACACUUGGUAAAAUAUAUAAGGCAAUCCAUCGGGCCUAGGGACACCAUCACAAUAGGAGUCAAAACAGCUUCCUAAUCUCCUCGUUAAACCUAGUAUUUUCUCUAUAGAAAUUUUCUCGUCCUCUCUAAAGAAAUCACUCUUAAGAGAGAUAUCAGGUCUACGUUCAUAUCUAAAUAACUCCUUAUUAGAGCCCUCGGGUCCCCCAGGUCCAUCUAGAACACUAUUUUUUUUUGAAAGAAAGGGGUCCCCCCUGCCCCAUUAUAUUGAAGCAGCAAAGAAAACCAGAUUCGGAAUACAAGCUUAACAGCUGGAUCCCCACACAGCCCACACCAGGCAACACCAUACAGACUGGAAACAAAACUAACUAGAAGGUGUAAACAGCCUCACAAACCAGCAAUCAUUUUAGCCUACAUGUAGUUCUUUUAUUACAAAACCCGAAGGCGAGGGCCAAAAGUGAAAGCUAAUUGUCUACUGACGACGACCGGAGAUCAGGUCCAGGCGAUACGCAGGAGCUCCCCCUGGUGUUUGUCGAGUAACAGAAUACAUGUUCACAGCAGCUCCGCUUGGGUGUCAUAGCAGAGUACCCCCCAGUGCAGAAGCACAUUUUUCAACUUGACAAGGACGCAAUUCAAGCCUCUCCAUGAGCGGCCCUGAAAACAGAAAUCAUUCCUUAGCCUCCAAAUGCUCCACAAGGAUGCAGCCAUGACCAGAUUGAGCAUAGGUUUACAUUUGUAAGAACACCACACAACACAUAUGUCUUCCCAACAAGUAAAAGGUUGCACAUUAAAAAGCUCACAGACCAUAGAACAAACACAUUUGGCCACAACACAAUCAAAAAAUAGAUGUUGAGUGGACUCAUUUUCUCUACAAAACAGGCAGGAGAGGUCUUCCACCUGUCUACUUUUGUUCAAAUUAUCUCUGGUCAGAAAUUUAUUGUACACACAAAGCCACAUGAAAACAUGAAUAUUUUGAGGACACAAAACUUUCCAAAGAGAUUUUCCAAUUGGAGAAACAAUUCCUCCAAAGUUUAUAACUUCAUAGAAAGAUUUAACUGAGUACAGCCCCUUAGGUUAAAGAGACUAGAUAGGCAAAUCUGGCGAGGUAGACAGAGGGAAAUCCCUAAUGUGGUCUUGUAAUUGAUUCCACCUAAGAAUCCCCCUCAGAUCGACACAUCGCCUAAAUGUAAGUUUCAGAGUAGUCCCAUCCCACACUUGAUCCACUGAACAAUCAGGCUGGUUGCAAAUUUCAAACAGGUCCCAAAACAUAGUUCUUAGGGAACAAUCCCCAGCCCACGUAUCAUGCCAAAAACUUAUUUUAUCACCUCUCCCCACCUUCCAAACAUAGAAAGUUUUUGAAGCAUUUAAAGCCCGGGUCACACUUUUCCAGAAGGGGGACCCAAUUUUUUGUUUGGCCCACUGAAUAUUCGGCGAGUGAGUGUUAUAUUUAAAAGCCAAAAUCUUUUUCCAAUCACUGUCAUUAAAGUCAAAGAAACGUUUUCCCCAUGAGGCCAAAAGGGCCAUGUUGAAUUCUUUCAAGUUGGGGAUACCAAGUCCCCGAAAUUCCUUUUUUCUAGUAACCAGACCCUAGUUGGCCAGAUGGUAUUUAUGUUGAUCAUCUAUAUUAGCCCAGAAAUAUGAGCCAUUUGAGAAUGAAUGGCAUUAAUUGUCUAUUUAGGGAAUUUAAUCAUGGCCAUAAGGUAGGCAGGAAUACUAACAAUACAGGCACACAAUAAGAUCAACUUCCCCCUAUAGGUCAAGUAUCUACCCAGCCAACCAGAAAUAUUCUUGAUAAUUCUAUCAAUAAUUGGUUGUAGAUCUUCUCUCCUCAAUUUGUCAUAGUGCACAUGCACUCCCAAGUAUUUGAUAGGAAAAGACCCCAACUUACAACAAAAAAUUUGAGCAAAGGUUUUAGACUGCUCCUCCACAUUUAUGGUGAGUAAAUCACCCUUGUGGAAAUUAAUUUUCAUACCAGAUAGGUUUUCAAAACAGGAUAAAAUCCACUUAAAAUCCCUGGCUUUGUCAUAUGAAUUCUCUAGAAAGAGAAGUGUAUCAUCAGCAUAUUGCAAGCUGAUCACUCCCCCGGGGAUAAUGUUGGUCAGAAGACCGGAUAUCAGGCCAUGUUUUGAAGCCUUGAUUAGCAUUUUGGAGAAAACAUCAGCAACUAAAUUAAAAAGCAAGGGGGAGAAGGGAUCUCCUUGUUUGAGACCCCCCCCCCCCAUAAAGUAAGGCCCAGUAGCAUCAUUGAUCCUCACACUAAAUGUACUCUGCAAAAGAGUUGUUUUAAUCCCAAAAAAUCCAUUUUUGCCCAAAACCUCUGGAACUAAGCAUUUCAAAAAGAAAGUCCCAACUUACUCUAUCAUAUGAUUUUUCAUAGUCUAGUUUGAGCACAAGCCCUUGUGAACCAAAUUUCUUAACUUCAUGAAUAACCUCACGUGCCAGGACUACACUUUCAAGUAUAUAUCUUCCGUUGAUAAAUGAAGUUUGAUUGGGAGAAAUCAUUCUAUGACUGAUAGGGGAAAAUCUAUUAGUCAUAGCUUUUGUAAAAAUCUUAAUAGCACAAUUGCUAAGACUGAUAGGUCUGAAGUUCUUCAUGUCUUUAGCAUUCACCUCCUUUGGGAUCAACACCAUCAGAGCAAAAUUAAGUUUAUGAAUAUCUAAUUUGCCCUCCUCAAAAUCUCUAACCAUGGCCAUAAAGUCUUUUUUAAUUACCUCCAUGAAGGUUUUAUAAAAGAGGAAAGGCAAGCCAUCAGGGUCAGGCGCUCCAUGUGCAUAAGAGCCAAAAAUGGCUUCCUUAAUCUCCUCUUCAGAAAAUUUUCUUUGUAGCAUUUAAUUUUCUUCUAUCGUAACCAGCUCAUCUUCCUCCCAGAAGGAAGGGCCAAGAUGAAUAUCAUGUUCUGCUUCAUACCCAAAAAGAAUUUUAUAAAAAGUAGUAGCUACAUAUAGCAUUUCGUUAGUAGUAAAAACAGGGCCAGAAUCCCAUUUAGCUCAGUCAAAUGAUUUUUUUUCUAUGCCUGUGAUUGGCAAGCGCAUGAAAAUAGGCAUUAUUUUUCUCUCCAUCUUUAAUUCUACGAUCCCUCGAACGUUGCCACAAGGCAACCUCCUCCUUACGCAAGAUAUCAUCAAGCUCUUUUUUAAUAUCCCGCAUCCGAAGCCUAUCCGCAUCCGAUACACGAUUUGACUCGGCAAAAACAUCUAGGAUAUCAAAUUCGUGCAUAAGGUCUCUCUUCUUUUUCUUAAGAGCAGCUUCAAUAUUAAUACUCUGGCCUUUAGCCUUUUUCCAAACAAUUUAGCUUUUUAUAACCAAACAUCAAUAGCAGUCCUCCCCACCACUAGGGUAUUCCACACCUCUAUAAACAUAGUUUUAAAUUCUGGGUAGUCAAGCCACCAUUUUUCAAACCGAACUGUUUUGGGGGGAGGUAACCCUCCUAGCUCAUGUGUCUAAAAUCAGGGGGUAUGAUCACUACCAAUUCUGAGUAAAGCAAUUAAACCGGAUAAAGGAAACUGAGCAUCCCAAGAAGGGGACACAAAGACUCUAUCAAUAGCAGCAAAAACAGGAUCAUCCUGAUUAUUACUCCAAGUAAAACUUCGAUUAGCAAUGCUAAUUUCCAUAAGACCCCACCUAUUAAUCCAAUCAUUGGAAAGGAAGGCAAGUUGAUUAUUAAUGAUGCCAUUGCUCUUAUCUGUAGCACAUCUCACCAAAUUAAAGUCUCCACCCAAAAUCAUAGGAUAUGUGAGAUUUGUCAUUACAUCAUGUAGUUCAGCAAUAAAUUCCAUUUUCAGAUCAUUGUAAGCAGUACCAUACACAGCAACAAAGUGCCAAACAAAACCAUCUUUUUUGUUCUUAACAGUAGUCACAACACUGUAUGUUUUAUUAAUAAAGCCAAUUAUCUCAAACAGAUCAUUAUUAAUCCCCACAAGGAUCCCACCAGCAGUGUUAAUAGCAGGGAAUUGUUGCCAAGAAAAAUCAUUUCUACCAGCAAUUCUCCUAAUGGUAAUAUCAUCAAUUUUUUCCCUCUUGGUUUCAAAGAAACCAACAAAAUCAGUGUGAUUGUUAUUAGUAAAAUCCCCUAGGCAUUGAAUUUUACCUGGUUGUCCUAGACCAUGAAUAUUCCAAAAGGAACCUAUCAUUGGAUUUUAAAAGGGUGAGAUAGGCCACAAGGCACAUUCUUACAAAGAACAAUUGGAUUGUUUACACCCAGAUCAACAGUGCCCCCUGAUCUAGAGUUGAAAACAUGACCAGAAGGGGUAUAGGCCCUCUCAGCAGCAUAUGUGGAAAUAUCUAAAUCAUGCGGUAAAACAAUUUCUGGAUUCUGGUCAGCAAAUUGCAGGCAUCUUAAUUUCUCCCUAUCCACAAUGUCCAUUAUAAUUCUCUUUUGAUCUAAGCUACUUUUUCCAACACACAAGUCAAUCUUAUUAAUUUGUUCGGCAAGAGUUUGGGUAUCAGUGGUAGCAAAAGAUUUACCUUUGAAGGAGAUAGGAAUUUCCAAAUUCUUCUUCUGUAGAUAUGCAGUAGCUUUCUCCAUAAUCUUGACAUUACCAUGGUUCCUAGUGAUUGGUCUAUUAGAGAGCACAGGCCCCCACCCCCACAUUAUUGUCCACAUCACACUUCAUCUUCUUGUCUGAUUCAGCUUUCUCUAGUGUUUCCGGGAGUGAUCUCUUAACAGAUCCAAGGGCCACCGCCAGAUCAUCAGGUAAACAUUGCAUAUCAGUUAAGCAGUGCUCCUCUUCCUCAUCAGAGUCUUCCAUUUCAAACUUACUUAACUGGGCAGAGCAACAGUCCAUAUGGACAGACAAAGGUUCAGAGCCAAAUGUGGAAGGAGAACCAACAAGAGCCGGACAGGGACUAGAAGGGCUAGAAUUCACAGGGCUUUUGUCUCUGAUUUCUUCAAUGAACUGUUCAUGGAAGCAAUCAACAAGUUUUGGAGGAUGAAACUCAGCUGCAGAAACAACUACCAUCAUGUUCUUACUUUUAGCAGCAGAGAUGUUCUUAUGAGGGAAAUUUGCUCUGUCAAGUUGAUCAAUAGGCUCAUCACCAUCCUCUUCCAUCUUGUCCUUCUCAAAUUGCUCAUUACCAUUAUCUUCCUUUUUCUCUACAGCAUUAUCAAUAUAAGGAUCACUGUCGUUAGCAUCAGAGUUGUCUCGCGCCUGUUCAAAUCCUUCCACGGUGAAAAAUAUCAUAUAUAGCUUUUUCUUCAUCUCCACCAAUCUCUCAAAAGGAAUUUUGGCAGGAUCCCUACAAGCAACUUUAAUUAUGAUAAUCUCAUAGAAACUUCUGAAAAUCCCAUUCCAGUCCACAUCCACAAGGAUGCCAAAACACGAAGCAACCUGUGUAAACACUUUCCAUGCACACCACUUGGGAGGAAUCCCCUCAACUUGUACCCAAGCUUCAGACAACUGACCAAACGCCUCCAUCAUUCCCUCACAUUCACAUAUCUUAAUAGAAACUCCAUCAAUCGGGAGGUCAAAUGCAGGGAACUCAAUCAGGUCUUCUACUUUUUUCCAAGGUGGGAAUCUAAGUAGGUAUUUCUUCUCCUCAAGCUCUCUAAUUUGCCAUGGCCAGUCUUUGUUCUUACAGAAAAUACCAUUUAGCUGGACCAAUAAGCUAGAACACUAAUCAUUUUUUCCUUCACCUCUGAUUAGCGACAACAUGGAAGUAAGCAGUGUUUGUGCCAUCCUCCAUACUAUCCUUAUCCCUAGACCUUUCACCGGCGUAGUCUCCUAUUUACUCCAAAUGUCUCCUAACUCUAGCAGAAUUUCAUCCUUCCUGCCCUUAUACCAACCUCAAAGAGGGUAUUAGACUCAGUCUAAACGCCAGAGGAUACUGUUUUGGGGACUAACAAUAUCGCUGGGUGCUACUUUGGCACCUAUGGUACAGUCGUACAGUUGCUUUUGGUAAAUACACCGCAGAGAUGAACUAUGUAGGAAAGUUUGCAAAGAACCCUGCGAACGUGGAAUGCAACACCUCUGUUUCUUUAUUUAUUCCUAAUUUUCCUCUGUUUCAGAGGGUGUUUGUUUCCAUGGACUUAUUGGUUUAGGGACUUAAAAAAGUCCCUAUAAGUCACAUCUAAACUAAACAGGAGGGACUUAUAGAGACUUAAAGUGGGCAUUUGGGACUUAUGAAAUAAGACUCUCAAGGAGAGUCUUACAGGAACUUAUAGUUGUAAUGUGGUCUUAUAGGGACUUAUAAGUCCCAGGAACCAAACAGGUAAGGACUUUUUAGAGACUUGAGACUUAUAAGUUGGGAUUAAAAAAAGUCCUAAGACUUAUGAACCAAACAGGGCCUCAGGCUCAGGAAUGCGUGCUCCUGUUAAUAUAUUCUGUAUUAUAACGUUUUCAGAGCCAACACCUGUUCUGUUCGACUGGUACUCACUGCAUUAUUUUUAGAUGAAUCUCGUGACCCUAUCUUGCGCUGAGCAGUGCAGACUUUACUAGUUUUCGUGCUUCCUUCAACUGAUGCAAUUUUUUUUUUGCGGGUUGUUUAAAUAUGCAAGCAAUGUUCUAGUAAAAGACUUGGUAGGUGAUGAAUCAAAUGCCCUUGCUCAUUCUGCCUUAAAUUACAGAGCUCAGACUAUAUAUUACAUGGUACAUACGCUGGAGAAAGAAAGAGUACUUGAUUCCCCAUUCGAUUUACACACACCACCCCAAAGAAGACACGGACACAGAUACAUUGCUGCUGCUUCUUCGACCUCCAGCCGAUCCCAUGCAAUCCGUGCGUCCGAUCUGAUGCAAUGCAACAACCCCUCUCCCACCACGCGCGCAAGCCAAAAAUCGUCUUAUAGGCCGAGCGCGCCGAGUGGCGUCUUGCCCUGUCCGGCCUCGAAGUAGAAGAUGAGCAUGGCAAGCAUGGCGAGGCGCGAGUGCUUGAUCUCGGCCACCUUGAGCCGCUCGAGCUUCUCGGUGUCGGGGAUGUAGACGCCGUCCUUGGUCUCGCCACCGAGGCCGAGCGGGUCGAAGAACUUGCCGCCCGGGUACCCUUGCUCACCGGUGAAGUUGGCGAAGUUCUCGGCCGUGCGCGACCACGGCGUGGCCCACUCCACCGACUGGGAGUCCGGGUUGAAGAAGUCGACCCACCGCUUGGACUCCACCCACCCCAUGAGCAGCAGCUGGGUGCCCAGGAGCGACCCGAAGGAGAAGGGCGCCACCGCGCCAGGCUGCGCCCCGGCCUCGAACCACGGCACGCCGCUGUACGCCUGCCCGAUGAAGAUGCCCAGGACCGCGGCCAUCGCCCACCGCCCGUGGAUCAGCUCGGCCUCCCUGUACCACUUGAGGAACGCCGGGUCCUUGCCAAGCCCCAGCGGGUCGAAGCCGAAGUCACCGGGGAGCCUGCACGUACGCGUUGAGUGAGUCUCAGAGUUGCUGCCAUGGAGGCCUCCCCUCGCGUAGAGUGGGAUUAAUGCAGGGCGACGAACGAAGAGAAAUACGAACGAGGAAGCCUUACGAGCCAUCGAGCCAAGACGGGUUGAUGAACUCGGCAUCGCUCUUGACCGCGGGGAUCCACGACUUCUUGCCGACGGCCGCGGCGACGACCACCACGCGGCGCGUCACGGGCUUGGCGGCGCCGAGGGAGGCGGCAUUAGCGAGCGCGCGCCUCGCGCCGAGGAACGGGUUCUUGAGCACGGCCGCGGAGGCGGUGGCGGAGGUGGAGGCGAGCGCCAUGGGUGCCGGUGUUGCUUCGCCGGUGACGGUGAGGUCGCUGACGCGCGCGGCGGAGUGGCAGCUAGGACGUCUGUUGGAGCGCGCAGGAUUUGCAGGAUGCCACGACGGUUUUGAUGUUAAAUCGUGGCGUUGCGGCGCACGGCAGCCACAAGAUGUGGGCGGGGAAAUCCUGGGGUGGUAGGAUGGAUAGAGCGCUGGCCAAUGGGGAGCUGGCGCCAUCGGAUUCUGCUGCGCCGGUGGACGCCGCGUGGACAAUAUCCUGGGCUUUCAUGCUCCUUGUGAUCUGUGGGGACUGCCUGCCAAUCGGACCGUGUCGUAGGAUCUCCGUAGAGAAUAGUGAAAGAAGAUCGAUCGAUCCAUUCACGGGCGUUAUAAUUGCCCGGUCAUACGAUGAUGAUCACCUUUGGAGAUGGCACGACACAUGGUACUAGUUUUCUACCAUCAAAUAUUCUUCAUAUCGUUCCCAAGUUCAACACUAACAGUGAGAUAUGCAUAUGCAUUAUAUGGGUAAGGCCAACUCCGACGCACACGGCCUCAUCGAAACGGACAGAAAUAGCGGCACAACAAGGCGACCCAAACGGAUUGGUGUCUGUUUUUCGUCCGCCCACGGCCCACUCUUGGCCCAAAUUCGGGCAGGGUUUGCGUGGGCACGGACAUGAACCGAACGUGCACGGGCGUUCUUCCUGUUCUCCCCUUGGCCCGUCAGUCGGUGACCCGUACGCGUUCACACACUCCACCAGCCGCAUCGCCACUUCGGAGGAGUUCUAGCCGGCGUUUGUAAACCCUAAACCCGCAUCCACACACUUCCCCACCCGCCCCGCUGCUUCGGAGGAGUUUUUGUCGCGUUUGUUGCCUCUUUCUCGCCACCCCCGGUGCUAGAAAUCCACGGUCGCCGACGCCGCCCGCCUCACACUCAAAGGUCGCCUGCUGCCCUCGUCUCCGCUUCGAUGGGCCUGCUGCCUGUACUAGGAGGCCAGGGUGAUCUUCAGCGGCCGCAUCUCCACCACGACUGCAAGGUGUUUGACACUUCGCUCGCAAGGUACCAUGGGUAUUUGGAUGACUAUUCUUUCAGCAACUUCAUUUGUUCAUCGGACAAUUUAUCGUAAGACGAUGAGGAGCUUGUGGUUGUGUCAUUAGUCGUUAAUGACCACUUUGCUAGGUAACUGCCGAGGUUCAGGGGAUCAAUCUCGGGCCAUGCUCUAGCAUUGAAUCGCAACAGAGAGAGCGGCCAUUUCCUACUUUUGUUGAUUAACUACUAUCGAUGCACGUCCCCGCUCUUCAAAACCCAUCUUUUCCGGUGCCGCUUCCGGAUGGCGAGACAUGUGUUCAACUCUAUUCGGGAGGGAGUGGUAGCAUAUGAUUAUUACUUCGAGUGCAAGGAUGAUGCCCUUGGAAAGGUUGACUUUUCCUCUUACCAAAAAUAAUACACUGUGGCUAUUCGUAUGCUUGCAUAUGGAAUUUCCGAUGAUCUCGUGGAUAAGUACGUCCUCAUUUAGCCUCUCUAAUCCAAAACACCAAUGGUGUGAUUUUCCUUCUUGAUACACUGGAGGAAUUUAGGGCUCUUACCCCCCCCCCCCCUAGAAUGGGAUUUCAGAGAAUUGCUCAAGGAGCACCAGAUGAAAAUUUUAUCUGCACAACAAGCUUAUUGGAAAUAGAGAGCUACUAUAAGAUGGAUCACCAAGGGGGAAACAAACUCUAAAUUUCUCAAGGUUAAGGCCACUAUAAAGUUCAGACACAACCACAUUGCUUCACUUAAAGAUGAGUUUGGCAUUGUACAUGAAGGAAAUAUGCCCUAGAGGCAAUAAUAAAGUUAUUAUUUAUUUCCUUAUUUCAUGAUAAAUAUUUAUUAUUCAUGCUAGAAUUGUAUUAACCGGAAACAUGAUACAUGUGUGAAUACAUAGACAAACAUAUAGUCACUAGUAUGCCUCUACUUGACUAGCUCAUUAAUCAAAGAUGGUUAUGUUUCCUAACCAUAGACAUGUGUUGUCAUUUGAUUAAUGGGAUCAAAUCAUUAGGAGAAUGAUGUGAUUGACAUGACCCAUUCCGUUAGCCUAGCACUUGAUCGUUUAGUAUGUUGCUAUUGCUUUCUUCAUGACUUAUACAUGUUCCUGUAAUUAUGAGAUUAUGCAACUCCCGUUUACCGGAGGAACACUUUGGGUGCUACCAAACGUCACAACGUAACUGGGUGAUUAUAAAGGAGUACUACAGGUGUCUCCAAAGGUACAUGUUGGGUUGGCGUAUUUCGAGAUUAAGUUUUGUCACUCCGAUUGUCGGAGAGGUAUCUCUGGGCCCUCUCGGUAAUGCACAUCACUAUAAGCCUUGCAAGCAAUGUAGCUAAUGAGUUAGUUACGGAAUGAUGCAUUACGUAACGAGUAAAGAGACUUGCCGGUAACGAGAUUGAACUAGGUAUUGGAUACCGACGAUCGAAUCUCGGGCAAGUAACAUACCGAUGACAAAGGGAACAACGUAUGUUGUUAUGUGGUUUGACCGAUAAAGAUCUUCGUAGAAUAUGUAGGAGCCAAUAUGGGCAUCCAGGUUCCGCUAUUGGUUAUUGACCAAGAAUAGUUCUAGGUCAUGUCUACAUAGUUCUCAAACCCAUAGGGUCCGCAUGCUUAAGGUUUCGAUGACAGUUAUAUUAUGAGUUUAUGAGUUUUGAUGUACCGAAGGAGUUCGGAGUCCUGGAUGAGAUCGGGGACAUGACGAGGAGUCUCGAAAUGGUCGAGACGUAAAGAUCGAUAUAUUGGACGACUAUAUUCGGAGUUCGGAAAGGUUCCGAGUGAUUCGGGUAUUUUUCGGAGUACCGGAGAGUUACGGGAAUUCGCCGGGGAGUAUAUGGGCCUUAUUGGGUCAUACGGGAAUAGAGGAGAGAGGCCGAAAGGAAGGAGGCGCGCAGCCCCCCUCUGGUCCGAAUUGGACAAGGGGUGCGGCCCCCCUUUCCUUCCUCCUCUCCCCCUCUUUCCCCCUUUCUCCUACUCCAACAAGGAAGGAGGGAGUCCUACUCCCGGUGGGAGUAGAACUCCCCUUGGCGCGCCCCUCCUAGGCCGGCCGCCCCUCCCCCCUUUCUCCUUUAUAUACGGGGGCAGGGGGCACCUCUAGGCACAAGAACACAAGUUGAUCUACGGAUCGUUCCUUAGCCGUGUGCGGUGCCCCCCUCCACCAUAUUCCACCUCGGUCAUAUCGUCGCGGAGUUUAGGUGAAGCCCUGCGCCGGUAGAACAUCAUCAUCGUCACCACGCCGUCGUGCUGACGGAACUCAUCCCCGAAACUUUGCUGGAUCGGAGUCUGGGGAUCGUCAUCGAGCUGAACGUGUGCUGAACUCGGAGUUGCCGUACGUUCGGUGCUUGGAUCGGUCGGAUCGUGAAGACGUACGACUACAUCAACCGCGUUGUCAUAACGCUUCCGCUUACGGUCUAUGAGGGUACGUGGACAACACUCUCCCCUCUCGUUGCUAUGCCAUCACCAUGAUCUUGCGUGUACGUAGGAAUUUUUUUGAAAUUACUACGUUCCCCAACAGUGAUAGCAGAGCCAAGUUUUAUGCGUUGAUGUUAUAUGCACGAGUAGAACACAAGUGAGUUGUGGGCGAUACAAGUCAUACUGCUUACCAGCAUGUCAUACUUUGGUUCGGCGGUAUUGUUGGAUGAAGCAGCCCGGACCGACAUUACGCGUAUGCUUACGUGAGACUGGUUUUACCGACGUGCUUUGCACACGGGUAACUAGCGGGUGUCUGUUUCUCCAACUUUAGUUAAACCGAGUGUGGCUACGCCUGGUCCUUGCGAAGGUUAAAACAGCACUAACUUGACGAACUUGAAGGAAAUAUGCCCUAGAGGCAAUAAUAAAGUUAUUAUUUAUUUCCUCAUAUCAUGAUAAAUGUUUAUUAUUCAUGCUAGAAUUGUAUUAACUGGAAACAUGAUACAUGUAUGAAUACAUAGACAAACAUAUAGUCACUAGUAUGCCUCUACUUGACUAGCUCAUUAAUCAAAGAUGGUUAUGUUUCCUAACCAUAGACAUGUGUUGUCAUUUGAUUAAUGGGAUCACAUCAUUAGGAGAAUGAUGUGAUUGACAUGACCCAUCCCGUUAGCUUAGCACUUGAUCGUUUAGUAUUCUGCUAUUGCUUUCUUCAUGACUUAUACAUGUUCCUGCAACUAUGAGAAAUAUGCAACUCCCGUUUACCGGAAGAACACUUUGGGUACUACCAAACGUCACAACGUAACUGGAUGAUUAUAAAGGAGUACUACAGGUGUCUCCGAAGGUACAUGUUGAGUUGGCGUAUUUCGAGAUUAGGUUUUGUCACUCCGAUUGUCGGAGAGGUAUCUCUGGGCCCUCUCGGUAAUACUCAUCACUUAAGCCUUGCAAGCAUUAUAACUAAUAAGUUAGUUAUGAGAUGACGUAUUACAGAACGAGUAAAGAGACUUGCCGGUAACGAGAUUGAACUAGGUAUUGGAUACCGACGAUCAAAUCUCGGGCAAGUAACAUACCGAUGACAAAGGGAACAACGUAUGUUGUUAUGCGGUUUGACCGAUAAAGAUCUUCGUAGAAUAUGUAGGAACCAAUAUGGGCAUCCAGGUCCCGCUAUUGGUUAUUGACCGAGAAUGGUUUUAGGUCAUGUCUACAUAGUUCUCAAACCCGUAGGGUCCGCACGCUUAACGUUUCGAUGACAGUUUUAUUAUGAGUUUACAAGUUUUGAUGUACCGAAGUUUGUUCGGAGUCCCGGAUGUGAUCACGGACAUGACGAGGAGUCUCGGAAUGGUCGAGACAUAAAGAUUAAUAUAUUGGAAGCCUAUGUUUGGACAUCGGAAUGGUUCCGGGUGAAAUCGGCAUUUUACCAGAGUACCGGGAGGUUACUGGAACCCCCCGGAGGUUAAUGGGCCUACAUGGGCCACGAGGGAGAAGAGAGAAGGAGCCAGGAAGGGGCCGCGCGCCCCUCCCCCUCCUAGUCCGAAUAGGACAAGGGAAGGGGGGCGGCGCCCCCCCCCCCUUUCCUUCCCCUCUUCCUCCUCUUCCCCCCCUUUUCCUAUUCCAACUAGGAAAGAAGGGAGUCCUACUCCCGGUGGGAGUAGGACUCCCCCCUUGGCGCGCCCUCCUUGGCCGGACGCCUCCUCCCCCUGGCUCCUUUAUAUACGGGGGCGGGGGGGCACCCUAGACACACAAGUUGAUCUACGGAUUGUUCCUUAGCCGUGUGCGGUGCCCCUCUCCACCAUAUUCCACCUCGGUCAUAUCGUCACGGAGUUUAGGCGAAGCCCUGCGCCGGUAGAGCAUCAUCAUCGUCACCACACCGUCGUGUUGACGGAACUCAUCCCCGAAGCUCUGCUGGAUCAGAGCCCGGGGAUCGUCAUCGAGCUGAACGUGUGCUGAACUCGGAGGUGCCGUACGUUCGGUGCUUGGAUCGGUCGGAUCGUGAAGAUGUACGACUACAUCAACCGCGUUGUCAUAACGCUUCCGCUUACGGUCUACGAGGGUACGUGGACGAACACUCUCCCCUCCCGUUGCUAUAUCAUCACCAUGAUCUUGCGUGUGCGUAGGAAAUUUUUUGAAAUUACUGCGUUCCCCAACAGAACUAUCGUUGUGGUUUUGAUGCGUAGGUAAGAACGGUUCUUGCUCAGCCCGUAGCAGCCACGUAAAACUUGCAACAACAAAGUAGAGGACGUCUAACUUGUUUUUGCAGGGCAUGUUGUGAUGUGAUAUGGUCAAGACGUGAUAAGAUAUAAGUUGUUGUAUGAGAUGAUCAUGUUUUGUUGAAGUUAUCGGCAACUGGCAGAAACCCUAUGGUUGUCUCUUUGUUGCAUAAGAUGCAAGUGCCAAAUAAUUGCUUUACUUUAUCGCUAUGCGAUAGCAAUAGUUGUAAGAGCAAUAGUUGUCGAGACGACCAUGUGAUGACACAUUGAUAUAGAUCAAGAUGAUGAAGAUCAUGGUGUCGUGCCGGUGACGAUAGAGAUCAUGACAGUACUUUGGAGAUGGAGAUCAAAAGCGCAAGAUGAUCAUGGCCCUAUCAUGUCACAUAUUUUGAUUGCAUAUGAUGUUUAUCUGUUAUACAUCUUAUUCUGUUUUGUUUGACGGUAGCAUUUUAAGAUGAUCUCUCACUAAUUAUCAAGAAAUGUUUUCCCUGAGUAUGCACCGUUGCGAAAGUUCUUCGUGCUGAGACACCACGUGAUGAUCGGGUGUGAUAGGCUCUACGUUCAAAUACAACGGGUGCAAAACAGUUGCACACACGGAAUACUCAGGUUAAACUUGACGAGCCUAGCAUAUACAAAUAUGGCCUCGGAACACGGAGACCGAAAGGUCGAACGUGAAUCAUAUAGUAGAUAUGAUCAACAUAGUGAUGUUCACCAUUAAAACUACUCCAUCUCACGUGAUGAUCGGACAUGGUGUAGUUGAUAUGGAUCACGUAAUCACUUAGAGGAUUAGAGGGAUAUCUAUCUAAGUGGGAGUUCUUAAGUAAUAUGAUUAAUUGAACUUUAAUUUAUCAUGAACUUAGUCCUGGUAGUAUUUUGCAAAUUAUGUUGUAGAUCAAUAGCUUGCGUUGUUGCUUUCAUAUGUUUAUUUUGAUAUGUUCCUGGAGAAAAUUGUGUUGAAAGAUGUUAGUAGCAAUGAUGCAGAUUGGAUCCGUGAUCUGAGGUUUAUCCUCAUUGCUGCACAGAAGAAUUAUGUCCUUAAUGUACCGCUAGAUGACAGACCUAUUGCAGGAGCAGAUGCAGACGUUAUGAACGUUUGGCUAGCUCAAUAUGAUGACUACUUGAUACUUUUGUGCACCAUGCUUAACGGCUUAGAAUCGGGACUUCAAAGACGUUUUGAACGUCAUGGACCAUAUGAGAUGUUCCAGGAGUUGAAGUUAAUAUUUCAAGCAAAUACCCGAGUUGAGAGAUAUGAAGUCUCCAACAAGUUCUAUAGCUAAAAGAUGGAGGAUAAUCGCUCAACUAGUGAGCAUGUGCUCAGAUUGUCUGGGUACUUCAAUUGCUUGAAUCAAGUGGGAGUUAAUCUUCCAGAUAAGAUAGUGAUUGACAGAAUUCUCUAGUCACCAUCACUAAGUUACUAGAACUUCAUGAUGAACUAUAGUAUGCAAGGGAUGACGAAAACGAUUCAUGAGCUCUUCGUGAUGCUGAAAUCGACGAAGGUAGAAAUCAAGAAAAGAGCAUCAAGUGUUGAUGAUUGACAAAACCACUAGUUUCAAGAAAAGGGCAAAGGGAAAGAAAGGGAAACUUCAAGUAGAAUGGCAAACAAGUUGUCACUCCCGUGAAGAAGACCAAAGCUGGACCAAAGCCUGAAACUGAGUGCUUACACUGCAAAGGAAAUGGUCAUUGGAAGCGGAAAUGCCCUGAAUAUUUGGUGGAUAAGAAGGAUGGCAAAGUGAACAAGGGUAUAUUUGAUAUACAGGUUAUUGAUGUGUGCCUUACUAGUGUUUAUAGUAGCCCCUGAGUAUUUGAUACUUGUUCGGUUGCUAAGAUUAGUAACUCGAAACAGGAGUUACAGAAUAAACAGAAACUAGUUGAGGGUGAAGUGACGAUGUGUGUUGGAAGUGGUUCCAAGAUUGAUAUGAUCAUCAUCGCACACUCCCUAUACUUUCGGGAUUAGUGUUGAACCUAAAUAAAUGUUAUUUGGCGUUUGCGUUGAGCAUGAAUAUGAUUUGAUCAUGUUUAUUGCAAUACAGUUAUUCAUUUAAAAUCAGAGAAUAAUUGUUGUUCUGUUUAAAUGAAUAAAACCUUUGAUGGUCAUACACCCAAUAAAAAUAGUUUGUUGGAUCUCGAUCGUAGUGAUACACAUAUUCAUAAUAUUGAUGCCAAAAGAUGCAAAGUUGAUAAUGAUAGUGCAACUUAUUUGUGGCACUGCCGUUUGGGUCAUAUCGGUGUAAAGCGCAUGAAGAAACUCCAUAAAGAUAGACUUUCGGAAUCACUUGGUUAUGAAUCAUUUGAUGCUUGCGAACCGUGCCUUUUGGGCAAGAUGACUAAAACUCCGUUCUCCGGAACAAUGGAAUGAGCUACUGACUUAUUGGAAACAAUACAUACCGAUGUAUGCGGUCCAAUGAGUGUUGAUGCUCGUGGCAGGUAUCGUUAUUUUCUGACCUUCACAAGAUGAUUUGAGCAGAUAUGAGUAUAUCUACUUAAUGAAGCACAAGUCUGAAACAUUUGAAAAGUUCAAAGAAUUUCAGAGUGAAGUGAAGAAUCAUCGUAACAAGAAAAUAAAGUUUCUGCGAUUUGAUCACAGAGACAAAUAUUUAGUUAUGAGUUUGGCCUUCAUAUAAAACUAUGUGGAAUAGUUUCACAGCUCACGCCACAUGGAACACCACAACGUAAUGGUGUGUCCGAACGUCAUAACCGCACUUUAUUGGAUAUGGUGCGAUCUAUGAUGUAUCUUACCGAUUUACCACUAUCGUUUUGGGGUUAUGUAUUAAAGACAGCUGCAUUCACUUUAAAUAGGACACCAUCUAAAUCCAUUGAGAUGACACCGUAUGAACUAUGGUUUAGCAAUAAAGCUAAGCUGUCGUUUCUUAAAGUUUGGAGUUGCGAUGCUUAUAUGAAAAGGGUUUUCAACCUAAUAAGCUCGAACCCAAAUCAGAGAAGUGCGUCUUCAUAGAAUACCCAAAGGAAAUUGUUGGGUACACCUUCUAUCACAGAUCCAAAGGCAAGAUAUUCGUUGCUAAAAAUGGAUCCUUUCUAGAGAAGGAGUUUCUCUCGAAAGAAGUGAGUGCGAGGAAAGUAGAACUUGAUGAGGUAAUUAUACCUUCUCCCUUAUUGGAAAGUAGUUAAUCACAGAAAUCAGUUCAGUGAUUACUACACCAAUUAGUGAGGAAGUUAAUGAUGAUGAUCAUGAAACUUCAAAUCAAGUUGCUGCCAAACCUCGUAGGUCUUCCAGAGUAAGAUCCGCACCAGAGUGGUACGGUAAUCAUGUUCUGGAAGUCAUGUUACUAGACCAUGAUGAACCUACGAACUAUGAGGAAGCGAUGAUGAGCCCAGAUUCCACGAAAUGGCUUGAGGCCAUAAAAUCUGAGAUAUGAUCCAUGUAUGAGAACAAAGUAUGGACUUUGAUUGACUUGCUCAAUGAUCAGCAAGCCAUGUUAAAUAAAUGGAUCUUCAAGAGGAAGACGGACACUGAUAGUAGUGUUACUAUCUACUAAGCUCGACUUGUUGUGAAAUGUUUUCAACAAGUUCAAGGUGUUGAAUACGAUGAGAUUUUCUCACUCAUAUCGAAGCUUAAGUCUGUCUGAAUCAUGUUAGCAAUUGCCACAUUUUAUGAAAUCUGGCAAAUGGAUGUUAAAACUGCAUUCCUUAAUGGAUUUAUUAAAGAAGAGUUGUAUAUGAUGCAACCAGAAAGUUUUUGUCAAUCCUAAAGAUGCUAACAAAGUGUGCAAGCUCCAGCAAUCCAUCAAUGGACUGGUGCAAGCAUCUCGGAGUUGGAAUAUACGCUUUGAUGAGUUGAUCAAAGCAUAUGGUUUUAUACAGACUUUUGGAAAGAACUUUAUUUACAAGAAAGUGAGUGGGAGCACUACAGCAUUUCUGAUAAGUAUAUGUGAAUGACAUAUUAUUAAUUGGAAAUGAUGUAGAAUUUUUUUGGAAAGCAUAAAGGAGUGUUUGAAAGGAGUUUUUCAAAGAAAGACCUCGGUAAAGCUGCUUACAUAUUAAGCAUCAAGAUCUAUUGAGAUAGAUCAAGACGCUUGAUAAGAUUUUCAAUGAGUACAUACCUUGACAAGAUUUUGAAAUAGUUCAAAAUGGAACAGUCAAAGAAAGAGUUCUUGCCUGUGCUGCAAGGUGUGAAAUUGAGUAAGACUCAAAGACCGACCACGGUAGAAGAUAGAAAGAGAAUGAAAAGUCAUUCCCUAUGCCUCAGUCAUAGGUUCUAUAAAGUAUGCUAUGCUGUGAACCAGACCUAUUGUAUACCUUGCUCUGAGUUUGACAAAGGAAUACAAUUUUGAUCUAAUAAUAGAUCACUGGACAGCGGUCAAGAAUAUCCUUAGUGAGGACUAAGGAGAUGUUUCUCGAUUAUGGAGGUGAUAAAAGAGUUUGUUGUAAAAAGUUACAUCGGUGCAAACUUUUACACUGAUCCAGAUGACUCUAAGUCUCAAUCUGGAUACAUAUUGAAAGUGAGAGCAAUUAAGCUAGAGUAGCUCCAUGCAGAGCAUUGAAGACAUAGAAUGUUUGCAAAAUACAUACGGCUCUGAAUGUGACAGACCCGUUGAUUAAACUUCUCUCACAAGCAAAACAUGAUCAUACCUUAGUACUCUUUGGGUGUUAAUCACAUAACGAUGUGAACUAGAUUAUUGACUCUAGUAAACCCUUUGGGUGUUGAUCACAUGACGAUGUGAACUAUGGGUAUUAAUCACAUACAGAUGUGAAUAUUAGUGUUAAAUCACAUGGCGAUGUGAACUAGAUUAUUGACUCUAGUGCAAGUGGGAGACUGAAGAAAAUAUGCCCUAGAGGCAAUAAUAAAGUUAUUAUUUAUUUCCUUAUUUCAUGAUAAAUGUUUAUUAUUCAUGCUAGAAUUGUAUUAACCGGAAACAUGAUACAUGUGUGAAUACAUAGACAAACAUAUAGUCACUAGUAUGCCUCUACUUGACUAGCUCAUUAAUCAAAGAUGGUUAUGUUUCCUAACCAUAGACAUGUGUUGUCAUUUGAUUAAUGGGAUCAAAUCAUUAGGAGAAUGAUGUGAUUGACAUGACCCAUUCCGUUAGCCUAGCACUUGAUCGUUUAGUAUGUUGCUAUUGCUUUCUUCAUGACUUAUACAUGUUCCUGUAAUUAUGAGAUUAUGCAACUCCCAUUUACCGGAGGAACACUUUGGGUGCUACCAAACGUCACAACGUAACUAGAUGAUUAUAAAGGAGUACUACAGGUGUCUCCAAAGGUACAUGUUGGGUUGGCGUAUUUCGAGAUUAGGUUUUGUCACUCCGAUUGUCGGAGAGGUAUCUCUGGGCCCUCUCGGUAAUGCACAUCACUAUAAGCCUUGCAAGCAAUGUAGCUAAUGAGUUAGUUACGGAAUGAUGCAUUACGUAACGAGUAAAGAGACUUGCCGGUAACGAGAUUGAACUAGGUAUUGGAUACCGACGAUCGAAUCUCGGGCAAGUAACAUACCGAUGACAAAGGGAGCAACGUAUGUUGUUAUGUGGUUUGACCGAUAAAGAUCUUCGUAAAAUAUGUAGAAGCCAAUAUGGGCAUCCAGGUUCCGCUAUUGGUUAUUGACCAAGAAUAGUUCUAGGUCAUGUCUACAUAGUUCUCAAACCCAUAGGGUCCGCAUGCUUAAGGUUUCGAUGACAGUUAUAUUAUGAGUUUAUGAGUUUUGAUGUACCGAAGGAGUUCGGAGUCCUGGAUGAGAUCGGGGACAUGACGAGGAGUCUCGAAAUGGUCGAGACGUAAAGAUCGAUAUAUUGGACGACUAUAUUCGGAGUUCGGAAAGGUUCCGAGUGAUUAGUACCGGAGAGUUACGGGAAUUCGCCGGGGAGUAUAUGGGCCUUAUUGGGCCAUACGGGAAUAGAGGAGAGAGGCCGAAAGGAAGGAGGCGCGCAGCCCCCCUCUGGUCCGAAUUGGACAAGGGGUGCGGCCCCCCUUUCCUUCCUCCUCUCCCCCUCUUUCCCCCUUUCUCCUACUCCAACAAGGAAGGAGGGAGUCCUACUCCCGGUGGGAGUAGGACUCCCCUUGGCGCGCCCCUCCUAGGCUGGCCGCCCCCUCCCCCCUUGCUCCUUUAUAUACGGGGGCAGGGGGCACCUCUAGGCACAAGAACACAAGUUGAUCUACGGAUCGUUCCUUAGCCGUGUGCGGUGCCCCCCUCCACCAUAUUCCACCUCGGUCAUAUCGUCGCGGAGUUUAGGUGAAGCCCUGCGCCGGUAGAACAUCAUCAUCGUCACCACGCCGUCGUGCUGACGGAACUCAUCCCCGAAGCUUUGCUGGAUCGGAGCCCGGGGAUCGUCAUCGAGCUGAACGUGUGCUGAACUCGGAGUUGCCGUACGUUCGUGCUUGGAUCGGUCGGAUCAUGAAGACGUACGACUACAUCAACCGCGUUGUCAUAACGCUUCCGCUUACGGUCUACGAGGGUACGUGGACAACACUCUCCCCUCUCGUUGCUAUGCCAUCACCAUGAUCUUGCGUGUAUGUAGGAAAUUUUUUGAAAUUACUACGUUCCCCAACAGUACACUCUGAGCACCAUGCCAAAGCAGAUAUCCUUUGGAGAGGUUUCAAACAAAGGCUUGGGACUUCUAUGCCCAUCUUUAAUUUGCUGAACUUAGAAGAUCUUGUUGAAAAAUUUGAUGAUCUUCACUGGCUAGAAGCUCCUUUUACUAAAUCUGAGAUUGAUGCAGUGGUUAAAGAUCUUCCUUCAGAUAAAGCCCCUGGGCCUGAUGGUUUCAACACCAAUUUUGUUAAAGCUUGCUGGGACAUCAUUGCUACUGACUUAUAUCAGUUGAUUGAUAAUUUAUUUAAGGGUGAUGUAGAUUUGCAGAGCAUCAAUUCAUCUUACAUUACUCUGAUUCCCAAAAAAGAUGCUCCUAUUGAGGCUAAUGAUUUCAGGCCUAUUUCACUCCUUAAUUGUUCCAUUAAGAUUAUCACAAAAUUGUUGGCCAACAGAUUGCAAAAAAGUAUUCUGAAACUUGUUCACAGAAAUCAAUAUGGUUUUCUCAAAGAAAGAUCAAUCCAGGAUUGUCUGGCAUGGGCAUAUGAAUAUUUGCAUCAAUGCAAUCAGUCAAGGAGAGAAACUAUCAUUCUCAAGUUAGAUUUUGAAAAGGCUUUUGACAUGAUUGAACAUCAGACUCUAAAAUGCAUAAUGAUGGUCAAAGGUUUUGGUCCCAGAUGGAUGCAUUGGAUGGAGGUGAUUUUUUCUUCUGGUACUUCUGCUGUUCUCCUUAAUGGAGUUCCAGGAAAGAAAUUUUGGUGCAAAAAAGGUGUAAGACAAGGGGACCCAGUCUCUCCUCUAAUUUUUGUCCUGGCUGCUGAUAUUUUACAAUCUAUUUUCAAUGAGGCCAUCAAACACAGAUUGAUUUCCUCUCCUCUGGAUAACACCAAAGAUUUUCCUAUCAUCCAAUAUGUUGAUGAUACUCUUGUUAUUCUGCAAGCUUGUCCAACACAGUUGCAACAAGUCCAAAACUUGUUAUUGCACUUCUCUGCUUUCACUGGCCUAAGGAUCAAAUUUUCAAAGUCUGCUAUGUAUCCAAUCAAUGUGGGACAAGAUAAGCUGACUCAGCUGGCUGCUAUUCUGGGUUGCACUAUUGGCUCUUUUCCUUUUCCUUAUUUGGGCCUACCCCUAGGCACUAAAAAGCCAAAAGUGGAUGAUUUCUUCCCCAUGAUGCAGAGAAUUCAAAGAAGGCUCACUGGUUGAUCUACUUUGCUUUCAAUAGGAGAAAAACUUUCUCUUAUCAAGAGUGUUUUCACCAACCUACCAACUUUCUUCAUGUGCUCAUUGGAACUGCCUGUCACAGUGGUGGAUCAAGUAAAUUCCUACACCAGAGACUGUUUUUGGAGGAAAUAUGGCCAGGAAGGUGUUGGUCCUGCCCUCAUUGCUUGGAACACAGUUUGCAAACCAAAAGAGCAAGGUGGUUUGGUGGUCUUGGACAUAGCUACUCACAACAAAGCUCUUCUUCUGAAAAAACUUCACAAAUUCAUGAAUAAGAUUGAUCUUCCUUGGGUUAACUUGAUUUGGGACACUUACUAUGGGCACAGAGCCCCAACCAACAGACAUGUUGGCUCUUUCUGGUGGAAGUCCAUCAUUAAACUCCUCCCAAUUUACAAAUAUGGCUCUCUGCACUGUAGGGAAAGGUAGCUCAGUGAUGUUCUGGCAUGAUAGAUGGGGCCCUGUUUCCCUCAAACUGCAAUUCCCACAUUUGUUUUCCCUUGCUAAGGAUGAUUUGCUAUCCAUCAAAGAAGCCUCAGACUCCAACACCUUCCAAGAACUUUUUCACCUGCCUAUGUACAAUCUAGCUUUUGCACAGUUUCAUCAAGAAAGAGCUUGUUUAGAGCAAACCAAUCUCAGAGGAAAUGUUGAUCAAUGGAAAUAGAUUUGGAACUCGGCUACCUUUUCUCCUUCAAAAGCCUAUAAUUUUCUCAUCAAAGGGGGGAGGCUCAUCCAGUUUUUAGGAAGAUCUAGUCUGCUGCUAUUAUGUUGAGAUAUAAAAUCUUCUUCUAGUUGUUGUUUCAUGAUCAAGUAAACACAAGAGGACUUCUACAAAGAAAAUCUUUCCAUCUCCCUUCUUAUAAGUGUGAGCUCUAUACUAAUCAAGUAGAAGAAACUACAAUGCACCUAUUUUGGGACUGUUCCUUUGCACUGAGGUGCUGGGACAUAAUUAUUCCACUCAAACAAAGAGACAUGAGUGUGCUUUAUGAGACUUUGUUAGCUCUGAACCAACUUCCAAAGGAGGUCGGCCUGAACAUUAUCAUCAUGGCAUGCUGGAAAAUUUGGAUGCAAAGGAAUGGCAAGAUCUUCAGACAUAUUACUCCCAAUGUCAUGACAUGGAAAGUGCUUCUCAAGAAAGAUUUAGUUCUUCUUCAGCACAAGAUCAAGUUGAAACAUAAGCAAUCCUUUUCACACUAGAUUGAAGCGCGUUUCUAAGCUCUCUGUUUAUACCCAUGAUGUUCCCCAAGAUAGGCAUUGGUUAGCUUAAUUGAUGUUUUUUCCUUUGAUGUACAUAUUACUCUAUUUCUAAUAAUAUAUAAUACCAUAGAAAGAUUGUUCUACGGUCUCUCCCUCAAAAAAAAGUACGUCCUCAUUAGUGGGUGCACACUUCUCGCAUCAAUAUACAGGUUCUGCAAGCCCGCAGUGGCAGUGUUUGGCGCUGAGUACCUGAGAGAGCCAAAUGCCGUUAUUGGCAAUCAAGAUAGAGGCUUUCCGAGAAUUCUUGGUAGCAUAGAUUGUAUGCAUUGAAAGUGGAAGAGCUGCCCAUUUAUUUGGCAGGGGGAGUACAUGGGGCAUGUGAAAGCUUGCAUUGUCAUACUUGAAGCAGUGGCUUCACUGGAUCUUUGGAUUUGGUACUCUUUUUCGGCAUGGUUGUUUCUCACAAGGACAUCAACGUGCUUCAGCGUUCUCUGGUGUUCGCAAGGCUUGCAGAAGGCCACUGCCCGGUAAUCAACUUUGAGAUCAAUGGCCACAACUAGAACAAGGGAUCUACCUAGCUAAUGGUAUCUAUCCUCAGUGGUCAAUUCUUGUGAAGACAAUAUCCAAUCCGGAAGGAGAGAAGAGGCAGAGAUUUGCCCAAGCAAAAGAGAGUGCUAUGGAGAAUGUGGAACACGCUUUUGGUGUGCUUCAAUCUCGAUAGGCUAUCGUUCGAUACCCUGCUAGAACAUGGGACAUCAAGAAGCUUUGGAAGGUGGUGACUGCUUGUGUGAUCAUGCACAACAUGAUCGUGGAGGAUGAGCAUGAUGACAUCAUCUACGACCAAGGGUUUCAAUUUCAGGGCGAAAAUGUUGUGCCUGAGCACCAAGAAUCAGCAAUGUUUGCAUAGUUCAUCCAAUUUCAUCAUGAAAUGCGUGAUUGGCAAACUCACAUUCAACUUCAAAAUGACUUCGUUAAGGACAUGUGAACUCAUCUUGACAACUAGUAGAUGUAUCGGUUCAUUUUCUUUCGAUGUACUUGUGACAAUUUAAAUUUGGUUGUAAAUUUCGUGAUUUUUAUUAGGUUGUAAACUAUUUAUUCUUGUGGUACUAUAUAUUUUAUUUGGCUGUCAACUAUAUGCAAUUUUUUAGUUAGACACAUGCAUUAAAAAAAUGUGUAUUAGCCCGUUGGGUGUACUGCCAACGCAACCACAAAAGCGGUUUGACGUCGUCCCUUUGCCCGAUCUAAACGGACAAAAUUCAAACAAAACAGACAUGGUUUGAUGGUCACCUAUUAGAGUUGGCCUCAUCUUAUUAAGAAGUUGGAAAAUGUGUGCCCUAAUUUGAAAACUUUAAAAAUAUGACCUCGUCGGCCUCACUAAUGCCGAAAAGGCACUCUUCUAUCUCGCUUAAGCUAAAGAGUAGUCUUUGGUCUUGCUUAGGCCGAAAAGGUACUCUUUGCUCUCGCUUAGGCCGAAGAGUGGCUGAAGUGGACCAAAAAUCUCCUUAGUUUUUGCUGGACAGAAGUUGCAUGGCCGUCGGUCGAAACCAGGUCGAAGUGCACUCUUCCACUUUCCCGUGACUGAAGAGUCCUUUCUCUUUUCUUUUCCUCGUCCACCCGGUUGUCUUUCCACCCGUAACCAAUUUAGCAUUCCCGCUCUUUUUCUGAUACUUUUCUUAUUUUUAAAUAUUUAGUUUGCUCGUUCAUAGUAAUAUUAUUCUCGCGUCACAUCGCGUUGUUUCUUCUCUCUCCAUUUGAAUAAUAUUAUAUUAAUGUACAAUGACAUUUUUUCAUAUGGGUUGAACAUUUUCUUCAUAAACUAUGAAUAUUUUUAGUACACGAUGGGCAUAUUUGGGUUACAUGAUUAAACAUUUCUGAAAUGCACAAUGAAUAUAUUUGUAAUACAUGAUAAUGUUUUUCUGAAUAUAGGUUGAACAUUUUCUUAACACGAUAAACAUUUUCAGAUUACAAGAUUAAUUAUCAAAUAUAAGAUGCUCAUUC
rnacentral:lncRNA from 1 species